rnacentral:lncRNA from 1 species
UGGAACUUCCUUAAGUGUGUUUGAAGAUUUGAAAAGAGCAUUACAUAGAUCUUUUCAUAUUAAGUAUGUUGGUCUGCUUAAAUUCUUUUUAGGUCUUGCGGUAGCUCGAUCAUCUAAGGGCAUAACUCUAUGUCAACACAAAUAUUUUCUUGAAUUUCUUCAAGAUGUUGGCCUUGCCGGUUGUAAACCAGCCUCUACUCCCUUAGAUGCUUCCAUUCGCCUCCAUCGAGAUAAUGGCUCAACAUUCUCUGAUAUCACCGCAUAUCGUAGGCUUGUUGGUAGAUUCUUAUAUCUUACCACAACACGGACAGACAUUGCAUUUAUCACUCAACAACUAAGCCAAUUCAUGAGUCCUCCCACUGAGCUACAUCAUCGAGUUGCUCUUCGUGUCCUGCGAUACCUCAAACGCUCUCCUGCCCGAGGUAUUUUUUUUGUCCUAAUCAUCUGAAAUACAAAUACUUGGUUUCAGUGAUGUUGAUUGGGGAGGUUGUAUUGAUACGAGAAGAUCCAUAUCUGGCUAUUGCUUUUUCAUUGGACAGUCCUUGGUGUCAUGGAAAUCAAAGAAAGAAGUGACUGUUAGUUGUUCUUCUACUGAAGCUUAAUACCGUGCCUUAGCAUCAACCACUCGUGACCUUUAAUGGAUUUGUUUCUUGUUGCAUGAUCUCAAACAACAUCCUUCGCGGCUUCUAGUCUUGUAUUGCGAUAAUCAAAGUGUUAUUAAUAUCUAUGCUAAUCUAGUCUUCCAUGAAAGGACUAAGCAUUUGAAUAUUGAUUGCCACUUGGUGCAUGAAAAGCUACAAGUUGGUGUUAUGCGGUUGCUUUUGGUUCCUUCUCAAGCCCAAGCAGCUGGUGUACUCACGAAAGCUCUUGGUCGACGUCCAUUCUUUGAUUACUUGUCCAAGCUGGCUUGGUAUACAUUUACCGACCUCAAGCUUGGGGUGGGGUGGGGUGGGGUGGGGGUGAGUCCAUUCUUUGAUUACUUGUCCAAGCUGGCUUGGUAUACAUUUACCGACCUCAAGCUUGGGGUGGGGUGGGGUGGGGUGGGGGUGGGGGUGGGGGAUAAUGGAUCAUAUAGAAGAAGAUAAAGAGAUAGAUUCCCACGUUGCAUGAGCAUGCUAUUAUCAUGCUCUCUCUUGCUUGAUUAACUACUGGUUCUUCUGUUAGUUGGAUUGAGUUAGUUAGGAUGGUGAUAUGGCAUAACUACCUAAUGUAACUAUAUAGCAUGUUGUAACUAACUUCUUCAUUCAUCAAUGCAAAUCAUUAUUGAGUCUUUCUUUUUCAUUCUCUUUCUACUUUCUCUCCAUCAAUGGAGUUUUAUGAUUGCUUAGAAUAAGCACAAGGUAAAGACAAGAACACAAAGGACCAUAUAAAAAAGACAAUGGACAUAGUAUUUGUGGCCACAUGUUCACUAAUACGAAUGUUUUCUGGUUUAAUGUAUCUACGUGUUACAUGCUUUCCAUAGCAAUAUAUAAGAGCCCGGGUCAAUGAUGAAACAUAUAGCCUUAACCACACAAUAACAUGCAUAAAUUCGUUAAUUUCAAAUGAAUAUACAAAGUCCCAUAAAAAAAUAAAAAAUAAACAAAGCAUUUAACGUUGUUUCAGUAUAUUUGGUUUUUAACACAAUAUUGGUGGUAGUCAUUUCCAAUUUUACCUUUUUACUUUUAAAUUCUUUCUAUGAGAAAUAUCAGUCAGAAUUUAGUUAAAAUUAGUUAAAAUUUACUCAAAGUUGUGCAAAGAAAAUUCUGUCAAAUUUUAAAAGAAACCAAACUCAGAAUUUGUAAUUCUAAGCAUGGAAACAUAUAUCCCUAAAUAAAAUAAAUAAAUAAAUAAAUAAAACAAGCUAAACUUCUAGAUAGAGAGAAAAACCAAGGUUAACUCCAUCUCAAAACCAAAAAUCAGAGAUAGAGAGAAAACCAAUAAGAAUGUAGACCUAUAUCCUCUUCAAACAACAACAAACCAGUGUAGAAAAAAAGAAGAACAUGAAGAAAGAAAUGCAAACAAUCGUUACUAUUUUGUUCUAUCAAACUCAUCGUUUUAUCUUUUACUCCCACCGUUGCAGAUCCACCAGCCUUACCGUCACCGUGAACGCACGACCUCCACCUCAUUCUCUUGCUCCGACCAGCCACCACCACUAGCAGCUGAACAUCCUCCAUCGCCGUCCGGACUCCAUUACUCUCUCCCUCUCAGGCCGCCACUGUUUUCACUUACGUUUUGACGCACAACCCCCAUUAUUACCGGCCUCCUCCCUCUCAAAUUGUCAAAGUGCAAGUUCACAGAAAAGGCUGUGUGGAGAGAGAGAGGAAGAACAAAAAGAAAAAAAAUAAAGAAAUAAGCGAAGUUGUGUUUACGGUUGCCGUGAAUACCAUGGAGAUUGGAAAAAGGAUAUGUUAGCUGCGUCAAUUUGAAGUAUGGAGAAGAAGAACACUUAACAUAGAUUGCUGUUUGUAAGUGGGAAACGUACCCCUUGUCCUCAUAAUCAAUAUUUCUUGCUUAUUAAAAGAAAAACAAAAAUCUAAUAAAUUUAAAUUUCCUUGUAACAAUAACAAAUAUGGUUAAUUAAAAGUGAUCAUUACAUUUGAGUUGUUACAAUUUAGUGGUUUUAAUUUUUUUUAUAACAAUAAACUUGUUAAUAAAAUAAGACCACGAAAAUAGUUUUUAUUUAAUUUUAGUGUAUUUUUCUAAAAUAAUAAAUUUUUUAAAGAGAUUAAUUAGAUAAACUCUUUUAAUCUUCGAGACAUUAUAACACAAAUUGUGAUAAUUUGAUUGUAUAAAUCUCUCUUUUUAACAAAUUAAUAAUAAUUUUAUUAUGUGAAAAUCGGAUAAAUAGACGUACAACUAUUUUAAUCAUUGAAUUUUCAAUACACUUGUUGUGCAACUAAAUCAUUUUGAAUUCUCGUAUUUUAGAAAAUCAAACUUGACUAAAAAAAGGAUAAAUUGGAUAUACAUCAAUUGUAUCUUAGAGUGUUUCAACACAAGUCAUACUGUUUAUUUGUUUGAACACGUGUCUUCUUACAUCAAUAAUUAAUUAAUUAAUUAACAAGUCAUUUUGAGUUUACUCUUUAAUCGAAUUAAAACGAAUUUACUAGACGUACAUCUCAGACAGAAGUCAUACCACUUGCUUGUUGGAACGAUUGUCUUCCUUUAAGAGAAUACAACUCGAUUUGAUUUGAAUAUUUUUCUUUUUAAACAAAAAUUGGAUUAAAAAAGAAUUAUUAGAUGUACAUCCUUUCAUCCUCGAGCCUUCGGACACAAGUCGUACCACUUGCUUGUUCUAACACUUGUCUUCCUCCAAAAACAAUCACAAUUGACGAAUAAAUAAUAUUUUAUAUGCUCCAACGCGACUAACAAAUAAUGUUUUUAUCCACACUAACACAAUCUACGAUCAACACUUUUAUCCACACUAAUGUGAUCUACAAACAACAAUUUUAUCCGCACUAAUGUGAUUAAAAAUUAAUAUUUUUCCGCUCUAACACAGUCAAAACAUUUUACUUUAAAAUUAACCAACACAUAAUAUUUUUUCUACAAAGAACUAUACGUAGCUUUGAAUUCUCUAUCGCACCGGAAGAUACGUAAGAGCAAGAAUCAAAUCUUGUCAAACACAUUAAGAAAAAAAAAUUCAGUUGUUUGUAAAUAUGAUUUAUCUUGUGUUUAAAGAAUAUGAAAAAUUAAAUAUAAUAAGGUUAACAAUUUUUUUUCCAAAUUAACUAGAGAUAACCGUUUUCUUAUACAUAUGUCAUAGGGUGUUAAUAUCUUCCAUUCGUAUAAUGGACUCUCAAACCUAAAUUUGUUUGAGAUGGCCAUCUUUUAUUAUUUAAGGUUUUUAUGACGUUUUUCCUUUUUAAGAAAACUUUUUUAGUGACUUCAUUGUUUUUCGAAUUUUUAAACUGCAACGGCUGACAACUACACUAGGGACUUUUAAAGAGUUAAGCCUAACAUAGUUAAAUUUACAAAAGGAUUAACUUCAUUUAUCUUUAUUUCUCGUAAUAUCUUGUGUUUUUAUGUUUUCUUUGAUCUUUAUAUAUUUCAUGUUAAUGUUGUAAUACCUAAAGUGAUAUAUAUAUAUAUAAUAUAUAUAUAUAUAUAUAUAUAUAUUAAUAUAUAUAUAUAUAUAUAUAUAACCCUUGUUUAUUUAAAAAAAUUAUUUUACAUUAUUUUUGUUUCAAUCUACAAAGUAAAAAUCUGUUGACAAAUUCUAAAUAUUCAUCAUCAUCAUCAUCAUCAUGUGUUUGAAGUUGUUGAAGUUCAAAUUCUAAAUUUUAUUGCAUACCCAUUGUUUUUUAAAUUCAAUGGUUUUGCAAGUAUUUGUUUUUGGUAUAAAAAUAAUAAAUUUUAGAUGAAGAAAAUUGGUUUUGCAUGUAAUGUCUUGACGAUUGUUAAUUUAUAAAUGGACGACAAAGAUUUAUUUAUAAAAAAAAUUGAGUUAAAUUUCCCAUCAUUGAUAAGGAUACCCGAAGUAAAAUAUAAUUUAAUUUCAAAAUAAAAAUAUUAGAAAGGCAUCAUUUUAUUAAUGCAUAAAACAAAAAGUUGUUGGUGUUGGGAAUUGAAGUUUGUGUCAUUGAUUGUCAUUUCCACUUGGUUACCAACCCACUAGAGGAAAAAGACUCCUUACAUACCCAAAAAGAAAAUGGUGAGCUGUACGGAAUAUAUAUCACUUAUAACUUUUUACCUUUCACAAUUUUCUUUUUGGAUUUAAAUAUCUUCUCAUCCUGAAUACGAAUAGGCUUCUCAACGUUUUCAACCAAGGAAAGUAAUAAAUUAUUGAAUUUUUACCUUGGAUAACAACACUUAAAACUUAUUCUUAAAUAUAAUAAUGGAUUUCACGAGAUGAAAUCAAGUAAAACAAUGUUAUUUUAUGAGAUAGAUUGUAAGAGCAGAAAAUUGUUUUCUUUAAGGUUGGUAAAACUUGAAAGAUUUUUUCAAUCUUGCAAUUCAUCUCAAAAAAUGAUGUUUACAAGUUUGAAAUGACAAUGAAUGAGUUAGGUUUAGGAAAAAACUGAAUGAACGAAUAAUUUUAUAGACAAAAAUGAAUGAACGAAUCCCCCUUAGUUGUUUGUAUAUCAAAAGAAAUAUAUGACUUAACUUCUAAUUAAAAAUAAAAUAAAAAGAAUGACGCAAUUUUAAAUGAACUAAAAACAUGAACUACAAUUUAUGGAUUCAAAGUGUGUCAGUGAGAUAGUUUCCCCCUCGAUUAUUUGUAUAUCUGAAGGAAAAGAUGACUUAAUUUUUAAUUAAGAAAUAAAAUAAAAAGAUUGUCGCCAUUUUAAAAGAAUAAAAACAUAAAGAGUCUAAUUUCGCUAUAGCGACUGAUAUUUUUCAAUUUCUAAAUCGGUUAAUAAAAGUGAUUUUUCUAGUAGUGGUCAAGCAUUAAGAAUCCAUUAAAAAUGCUUAAAAUUAAUGAAUAACAAUCAACGUCCGAGUUUCUUAUAAGAUAGGUGGGAGUGACUAAUCAAAUGAAAGCAUAUGGUGAAACAGUGUGUGAGUUGAUGAAGAUUGAGAAGGUUUUGAAUAAAAAUAUUCAAAAUUAGGUCAAUUGUUAAUUUCAAAACUAUGGUCAAAAGUAAUAAUUUUUAUGUAAUAUUAGGAUUCUCCUGUAACUAUUGACCUAAUGGUCAAAACUAUUGUCAAAACUACUUUUGAUCAUAUGAUUAAAUAUUCAAAACUAUGGUCAAAAGUAAUAAUUUUUAUGAUCUUAAUCUAACACUGACCUAAUUUUUAUACACGAAUUUGUUAUGAGUGUGGUAAACCCUAAUAUCGUGUGAUUUCUAAGAAAACAUUAAACCUAAACAUGAAAUUCUAAAUAUAUAUAUAUAUAAAGAGAGAGAGAGAGAGAGAGAGAGAGAGAGAGAGAGUAUGUUGGAUUUAUAGUGGUUCACACUUUCGUCCUUGCUUUGUGGCUACUUGAUAGCACCAAAACACACUACAUAUUUGACUCCGAUUGCACAUGUUUUACCAUCCUUUUAUUAUCAUUUCUAUCGUUAUGCUGGUAUUUUUCCUUAUUUUCAGGUACAUGGCCUAGAAAAGGCCUUACUCGAAGAAACGAAGCAAAAUGGAGGAAAAACGGAGAAAAAUUAGUAAAAUGUACACAUGGCGUUCAACAUAGAGGCAGCCGCGGGGAAGAUGACGUGUCCCACGUCCCAAUGGUUACAAAGACUGGGUCUGGCCAUUUUGGGAACAUGGCGGUCAUCAUCUGUGAUUUUUGCGCUCCAGUCAAAGGCAGUUGGAGAUUCACCCCCAUGACCACGAUUUUUUCCUCACACGAAUGCUGAAGGAGUUACAUGUUUCCCUAUAUCUAGUACUAGUAUAAAUAGGCCAUAAAGUUCAUUGUUUUGAUCAUCUAAGCUUAGUUGCAGCAUAGGCCAUAUAUUAAUUAUUAAAGCGAUAAUUCAUCACAUUGAGGGGUUACCGCACCAUUAUUGUCAUUAAGUUUGGAGCAUUGUAGUCGUAGCAUUUAAUCUUACCUCCAUUUACAUUUCUGUUGUACCAGAUUCAAGUUUUCGAUUGCAGCAGGUUUUUAAUAUAUUCUGCACCGCUUUAUUUUAUUUAGUUUGUCGCAUUGCCUUACUUACUUUAUUUUCUAGCAUCACUUUACUUUGUUUAUUUCAUCGCAUCGCUUUACUUUGUUUAUUUCCUCGCACCGCUUUACUUCGUUUACUUUAUUUCUUGCUUGUUACUUUUCGUACAAAAAUCUAUUUUCAAAGUUAUACAUUUAUUUACAAGUUCUUGUUGAAACUCAAUUGCACACGUAUCAUUUUAAUAUGUCAUAUAAAACUUUUCAAUCAUAUGAUAUAUCAUUUACCAUAACCAUGUCCAGCUAAAUCAUUACUGCUGGAAUGUGAGGACCGUCGAAUCGACGGUACUCCAUAUGUUGUCUCGGUAAGAGUGCUUUUGGGGCUGCUUUGACUUUAAUAUAAUCUUUAAGUUAAAAGUUUUCCAACAAAAUUACUUUUCAACUGAGUUAAAGAGGUGGUUACAUAAAAAGGAUUUUCUACUUUAACGCAAGACGUGACCAGUGCAACGUGAGCGACCGGUAUAAAUUAAAGAUAAAGGUUGGUUUCGAAAAAUCGAAAGUGACGGUUCCUUCUUAAUUAACUCUUUUUCAAGAUAGAAAACAUCGCCCCAUAGGUAGUUCUAAUUAGAGAUAAUAGGAGUAUUGUUGAUUGAUGUGAUCCAUGUUCCAGUAUUACAUUUUUGAAUUCGUGUAAACGUUAUUAUUUUCAUUUUGUUUCCGUUUCAAACAGUUUUGAUAUCGCCUUAGAUAAACACUAUAACAAUUAGAAAUGAUGGAUUUGAAUAUUUUUCUCUGUGGGAUCGAUAUCUUUGAAACUAAGUGAUAGAAUGUACACUUGAAGUUAAUUAAUAUGAUAGACUCAUAAUCUCACGAACAAGUUUUUGGCGCCGUUGUCGGGGACCAAUUACGUCAAAAUGUUGUAAGUUAUUGUUACACCAUCUAGAUUAAGGCACCUUAUCUCUAUCAUUAUGCAUCGUCGCAAGUUUUCUUACAAUUACCUCUCUCAAUAUUUUGAAGUACCGCAUGAGUCUCAUAAAUCCAAUCUUAAUAUUAUCUGGGAUAAUUACAUUGAGACGCUAACUCUCUCCAACCUAAAAUGCACCAUGCGGAAAUUUAUGGCAACACAAACCAUGUGGAAUAAAGAGUUUAUGAACCAACUUUUUAAUACUAAAGAAACCCUUAGGCAGCUGAACAUUAUGGUCGAGUCCCUAGCAACUCACAACAAGGAAAUGGAGACUCAAAUCUCCCUGCUUGCACAGAUACCUCUAGGACCCUUCCCUGAGAAACAUGUGGAUAUUGUAAUAACCACCAGUGAAAAAUCUAUCGAAAAUCCUAAGGAGAGUGAUAAUGAGGAGGGUUCAGGUGAGAAAAGAGUAGAGAUUGAGAAAGAUCCACUGACACCACCCGAAAGGGAGGUUGUCGAGGAGGUAGAUAAGGAAGCAUUUUGUGUUGUUCCUCCUCCCUAUAAAUCAUUGAUUCCUUUCCCGCGAAGGCCUGUGGGAGUUAAGGUAGACUGCAAAUCCGAAAGGUAUGAGAAGCUAUUGGAAAAUAUCCACACCAUUGCACCUUUGUUUGAGAUCCUAAAUAAGAAGAGAAAAUUAGAAGACCAUGAAACUAGGGAACUCAUUAGUAUUAAAAGGGGAAAAUUACACUUUGAGGUGGUAGAUGAAAAAAUUGAGCCCAAACCUGAAAAGCUAGUGCUCAGGAUAGAGCCAGAACCACCACCACAAGUUCAGAAGGAUAAACUACCUCGCAGAAUGAACAAAAGAAAAGGAGAUGGAUAUAAGAGAUGGCUUGAGAAGUGGCCAUGGAAAUCGAGGAUAAUUAAAAGUUUGACUGAGGGUUCAUCCUCGAAAUAACCACCAUGAGUACUUACACUCUUAAGUCGUCGAGCUUCCGACGUUAAAUAAAGCGCUGCGUGGGAGGAAACCCACAAAUUUCGUUUACCAUUUCCUUUUCUUUUCUUAUCCAAAUAUAUAAAUGGUAAAGAGGCAUAUAGAGGCAACAAACCGAGAUGGCGACCCAUAUCCAUCAGAUUCAGGCCCAACAAGUUAAUUACAUUGAACGGACCGAACUGGACAUGGGGGACCUGAUCCAAUAGAUGGCGGGAUUACGGACAAAGAUGGAUGGAUUACGUGAGUAUGUGCAACAUGUUGGAGUUCCGCACCCUUAGUAUGGACGAGGCAGACAUGAUGGUUGAUGCCAUUUUUAAGUUGGGACACAAGUUCUUCCUCUCCUUCUUCACCUUAUAUCAAAACAUUGAGGAUAAUGUUCGGUUUAAGUGUGAGAGGGGAUCUUUACCGUUUUUAUCGCUAUUUUUAUCGCUUUCUAGUUAGAUUUAUCAUUUUAUGCAUUUAGUUAGAAUUUUAUCAUUGCAUGUGAUGUCGAGUCUUUAUGCGUAGUUUUCUGCUGUUUAUUAAUUCUUUCAUUUCUUGAGCCAUACCAAAAACAAAAUUUUUGAAGAAGAAAACAAUGUUUAUUUUUGAAAUUUUAGGCUAUUAAAUAAGCUAAGGAUAGGUUGUAGAGACUUUGGAAAGCUCUUAAGAUCAGUAUCGUCUUAACACCAUAAGUCUCCUAAUUAUAGAGAUCGAUUUGGAUACUUGUUAUGUCAUGGCCUUGAACUCUUACCCCUUAAUAAGUCCUUAAGUAAUUUACUUUAGCAGUCAAAACCAUCUUAAGCAUACACUAAGCAGGAAGGUCGAUGCAAAUAAGUGAGUGAUUUUGAGAAAAAAAAAUGAAUAAAUGCUAAAGCAUAAAUACCAACGGUAGUGAAAAGUAAUAAGUUCCUAUUGUUGGUUGGUUCAGAGGUAUCUGGUUAUGAACUUGGUAGGGAGGAUUACGAUCUGAUCCCCCUCAGCUGCAAUUUGGAAAAGGGGUGAACCAUUUUGAUACCAGAACCCCGUCAGCAAAAUAAAUCAUAAUUACUAACAUAUCUCCUCAUUGUAUGUGUAUAGAUAACUGGCUUAAUGUGAUUUUUCCUAAAUGAAAAAGGACGAAAAAUGGGAUGAUUAAGUAAGGCCUAGGCAUAAUAACAUAAUGCAUAUUGGUUUAUAUAGCAAGGAGACUUAUGACCGCAAAUGCGGAAUGUGUUGUUACGAUAUCCUUAGUUUGCGAGGUAGUACCUAUUGACACGAUCAUAACCAAAGCAAAGUCUAUAGCCUAAAAUAAUUAUCUGGGAGUUACUAUUUUUCUCCUUACCACAAGUCUUUCUUGAGGACAAGCAAAAGUUUAAGUGUGGGAUAUUUUGAUAACACCAAAACACACUACAUAUUUCACUCGGAUUGCACAUGUUUUACCAUCCUUUUAUUAUCAUUUCUAUUAUUAUGCUUGUACUUUUCCAUGUUUUCAGGUACAUGGCCUAGAAAAGGCCUUACUUGAAGAAACGAAGCAAAACGGAGGGAAAACAGAGAAAAAUUAGUAAAAUGUACACAUGGCGUUCGCCAUAGAGGUAGCCGCGGGGAAGAUGAUGUGUCCCACGUCCCAAUGGUCACAAAGACUGGGUAUGACCAUUUUGGGAACAUGGCGGUCGCCAUCCUAACAUGGCGGUCACCAUCUUUGAUUUUUGCGCUCCAGUCAAAGGCAGUUGGAGAUUCACCCCCAUGACCACCAUUUUUUCAUCACACGAAUGUUGAAGGAGUUACAUGCUUCCCUAAGUCUAAUACUAGUAUAAAUAGGUCAUAAAGUUCAUUGUUUUGAUCAUCCAAGCUUAGUUGCAGCAUAGGCCAUAUAUUCACUGUUAAAGCGAUAAUUUGUCACAUCGAGGGGUUAUGGCACCAUUGUUGUCAUUAAGUUUGGAGCAUCGUAGUCAUAGUGUUUAAUCUUACCGCCAUUUACAUUUCAGUUGUACCAGAUUCAAGUUUCCGAUUAGAGCAGAUUUUUAAUACAUUUCGCACCACUUUAUUUUAUUUACUUUGUUGCAUUGCCUUACUUACUUUAUUUUCCCGCAUCGCUUUACUUUGUUUAUUUCCUCGCAUCGCUUUACUUUGUUUAUUUCCUCGCACCACUUUACAUUACUUUGUUGCAUUGCCUUACUUACUUUAUUUUCCCGCAUCGCUUUACUUUGUUUAUUUCCUCGCAUCGCUUUACUUUGUUUAUUUCCUCGCACCACUUUACUUCGUUUACUUUAUUUCUCGCUUGUUACUUUAUGUACAAAAAUCUAUUUUCAAAGAUAUACAUUUAUUUGCAAGUUCUUGUUGAAACUCAAUUGCACACGUAUCACUUUAAUAUGUCAUAUCACACUUUUCAAUCAUAUGAUAUAUCGUUUACCAUAACCAUGUCCAAAUAAAUCAUUAGUGCUGGAAUGUGAGGAUCGUCGAAUCGACGGUAUUCCAUAUGUUGUCUCUGUAAGAGUGUUUUUGGGGUUGUUUUGACUUUAAUACAAUCUUUAAGUUAAAAAAAUUCAAUCAAAAUUACUUUUCAACUGAGUUAAAGAGGUGGUUACAUAAAAAAAGGAUGUUCUACUUUAACGCAACAGGCGACCAGUGCAGUGUAAGCGGCUGGUAUAGAUUAAAGAUAAAGUCAGGUUUCGAAAAAUCGAAAGUGACGGUUCCUUCUUAAUUAACUCUUUUUUAAGGAAGAAAACAUCGCCACAUAGGUAUUUCUAAUGAGAGAUAAUAGGAGUAUUGUUGAUUAAUGUGAUCCACGCUUUAGUAUUAUAUUUUUGAAUUCGUUUAAAUGUAAUUAUUUUCAUUUUGUUUCUGUUCCAAACAUUUUUGAUAUCGCCUUAGAUAAACACCAUAACAAUUAGAAACAAUAGAUUUGACUAUUGGUCUAUGUGGGAUCGAUAUCUUUUAGAACUACGCGAUAGACUGUACACUUCCAGUUAAUUAAUCCAAUAGACUCAUAAUCUCGCGAACACUACUCAACCCUCUAAUUAUUUCCCAUUGAUUUUUUUAUCUUUCACUGUGAUAGUGAUGAUUUUUGAAGAUCCUUUUAUUACAAUCAUGAUUCAAGUUAACAUUGAAAAUAAACGAUCUUUGAUACCAAUCCUACCUUUGAUUUUAUUCAGUGUCUGACAUCGACUUCUGCAACAUCUUUACUCCAUUCUAACUUCUAAUUUUUAGCUUCAAGAGUUAUGCUCCAAGCAUACAUUAUGUAGUAACCUUUACUCUGACAUAUCAGUUCCUUGUUUGAGUCUUGAACUGUUUAAAGAUGAGAAAAAAUCCAGCUCCGUUCGUAGCAGCCUUGAACCUAAAAUCUUCAAAAUUCUUCACAUAACAUUAAUCACAAAAUGAACCUCCUCACAUAGAUAUCACACCAUGGGUUUUGAAGCUUAUUCAAACAACAACAACAGUAGAAGGUAGAGGUUGAAGAUGAUGAGAGAUUUUGGUUUCAAACUCUAAACAAAACUUAAAGUUAUUUUUGUAUUUCUUUACAUAUCGAUCUUGGUCUUGAUGAAUUGUGAGUUUCUUAUUAUGAGACUGCAAAAGAAAUAUGGAACAUCAUCCAAAUUACCCAUAAAGGAACUAUUGAGGUAAAAGAGGAAAUGUUGGGCAUAUUAACUCAUGAGUAUGAACUUUUCAUAAUGGAACCUGAAAAGAACAUUAAUCAGAUGCAAACAUGAUUUACCCAUAUCGUGAGUCAUAUGAGAACUUUGGGAAAAUAUUUUCAAAUUAGGAAUUAGUUGUUGCAAUUUUUAUAUGAUUAAUUUGUAUUUGGAAACCUAAAAUCAAUGCAAUUUGAGAAUAUAGGGAUCUAACAACUAUGUAGACAAACACUCUUUUUGGAAAAUAGGAGGAACAUAAGAUGUAUUUGAAAAUGUUUACCAUAGAUGAGGAAGGAGAAAAGAAAAGCAAAAUUAUAACAUUCAAAGUCGAUGAAUCUAACUUUGGUGGUGACAUGUCUCUUAUAGUAAAUAACUUUAAAAUAUUCCUAAGACAUAAGAAGAAACAAAAAGAGGAACAAGAAAAAGAUGAGGAAAAGUCUCCAUUCAUCCCCCACAUGUUUCUUGUGUGGAAAGAAAGGGCACAUCAAGCCAAACUAUCCUUUAGCUAAAAAGGAAAGUCAUAAGAAAUCUAAGAAAUCCCAUAUAAAGGGCAAUAGAUCUUACAUCUCAUGUGAAGAUAACGAUAUGGAAUCCUCAAAUGAUGAAGAAAAAGACAACAUAUGUCUCGUGGAAAAUUAUCAAGAUGACGAGGUAAUCUCUUAUUUUUAUUAUCAUGGUCUUUUUUGCAUUUGUAAGAAGCUAAAAAAACUGGAACAAAUUGUCUCUGCAUCCAAGGAUAUUAUUUAUUUUCUUGAAUCUAAAUAUAAAAACCUUGAGAAAGAAAUAAAAAUUCUUAGAGAAAUACAAAAUUAUCCAGUUAAGAAUUCUUCGACUUCUAACAAAGAGGAUGAACCUGACAAGUGCAAAAAAUGUGCACCUUGAAAAAUGAAAUUUGUGAUCUUUAAAAGAUGUUUGUGAAGUUCACCAAACGAAGAGACAACUUGACAAGUGCAACAAAUGUGACACCUUGAAAAAUUCUCAUGUCUAUAUUAUAAAGUCAUGUGAAAAUAACAUUUAUAAAACUAAUAAUAAAGGACCUAAAAUGACAUGGGUACCAAAAUUUAAGACAUAGGCUUUUAUUGUAGGAGUGCUUUACAGUUUUGAAUGCUAAAUGAUACCUUGGUAGCGAUUGCUCAAAGUAAUUUACGGGUGAUAAAACUUUAUUCUCCUCCUUAUUUCCCAAGAAGGGAGGUUUUGUUUCCUAUGGUGAUAAUAAUAAGGGAAAAUUUUAGGUUUUAGCACUGUUGUUAAGUCCUCCGGUCUAACGAUUAGGGAGUUCUUUUGAUUAAAGGGUUAAAGCAUAAUUUACAUAAAUUAAGUCAAUAUAUGACAAAGGUAAUAAUGCAACUUUUGAUUCUUCUAGUUGUAGGAUUAUAAAAUCAAAAUCAAAUGAAACUUUGUUUAUGAGGUCAAGAAGUGGAAAUACCAACACAAUGGAUUUAAAUUAAAUUUCUUCAAAUGAUGUAUGUCUCCUAAGUAACAAGGAUGAAUCUUGACUAUGUAAUAGGAGAAUCUCUCACAUCCAUGUGGACCACUUAAGCAUGUUGGUUUGCGAGGAUCUAGUAGAUAGCCUGACAAAUUUAGAUUUUGAAAAGAAGAGAUUAUGUGAUGCGUGCCUAAAAGGGAAGCAAGUAAGGACCUCUUUUAAAGCAAAAAAUAUUGUUUACAACAUAGGACCUUACAACUACUUCACAUGGAUCUUUUUGACCCAUAUAGAAUGGUAAGUCUUGGUAGAAAUGUCUAUUCCUUUGUAAUUGUUGAUGACUAUUCUUGCUACACCUGGACAUUAUUCUUAUCUCAGAAAAGAGAUGUAUUUACUACCUUUAAAAAACUAUCCAAGAUUAUCCAAAACGAAAAAAGGAGUAAGUAUUGCAUCCAGUAGAAGUGACCAUGGAGAAGAAUUCCAAAAUAAGGAAUUCGAACAAUUCUAUAACAAGAAUGGUAUUUAGCACAUCUUUUCCACUCCACAAACUCCCAAACAAAAUGGGGGUAGUGGAAAGGAUAAAUAGAUCUCUAUAAGAUCUUGCAAGGAUGAUGUUCAAUGAGACUAUUUAUGAGUCGACGCAGUAAGCACUGCUUGUUAUGUUAUGACUCGUGUCUUGAUAAGACCAAUUCUAAAGCAGACGCACUAUAAAUUACAUAAAGGAAGAAAACCAAAUAUCUAUCACUCACAUGUUUUUGGAUACAAGUGCUUUAUCCUUAACAACGUGAAAGAUAAACUCAGAAAAUUUGACGCAAAAGUUAAUUCAUAAGGUAUUCCACUUCAAGAAAAUAUUUUAAAGUAUUUAAAAAAAGAAUCCUAACAACUGAAGAAUUGGUUCGUGUUACUUUCAAUGAAACUAACCCUAAGACAUUAUAAGUAGAAGUAAUUGAUUGUGAAGGUAUCUUAGAAAAGAUAAAUCUAGAAGAAAAUGAUCAAGAAGCUGAGCAAAGUCAAAGUCAAAGUCAGAAUCAAAUCAUAGAUGAAGAAUCUAUUCGUGAUCAAAUCAUAUAUACUCCUUCAGAUCCUCAAAAUCUUCCAAAAGAAUGGAGGGUGACAAAACCCAUUCAAAAUGUUAUUGGAGACAUAUCUAAGGGAGUCGCUCUUAGAUAAUCCCUUAAUAAGGUAUGUAACUUUGUGGCUUUUGUUUCACAAAUUGAGACAAAAGGAAUCAAAGAAGCUUUCGUUGAUGAAAAUUGGUCUCUUGCCAUGUAAGAAGAGUUAAAUCUAUUUGAAUGAAGCAACGUUUAGGAACUUGAUCCAAAGCUUCAGCUAAUUUAGUGAUUGGUACUUGAUGGGUCUUUUGAAACAAGCUGGAAGAAGAUGGGAACAUUUUAAGAAAUAAAUCCAAACUCGUUGAUAAGGGUUACAAUCAACAAGGAGGAAUAGAUUUCAAUGAAACACAUGCUCUUGUCGCUAGAUUAGAAGCCAUAAAGAUAUUAUUAUCCUUUUCUUUCACAAUGAAUUUCAAACUAUUUCAAAUGGAUGUGAGAAGAACUUUUCUAAAUGUCUACAUCCAAAAGGAGGCAUAAUUUGAUCAACCUUCAGGUUUUAUCAACUCAAUCUUUCUUAGUCAUAUUUUUAAACUCAAGAAAGCCUUGUAUGGUCUGAAACAAGCUCUUAGAGCUUGGUAAGAUCAUCUAAGAAAUUUUUUUCUUGAAAAAAAGUUCCAAAGAGGAAAAUUAGAUAUAACUCUUUUUAUCAAGAAAGCCAAACAUUACAUUUUAUUAGCUUAGAUUUAUGCCGAUUAUAUCAUAUUUGGUGCUACUAAUGAAUCCUUGCGCGUGAAUUUUUCAUAAAUGAUGCAGAACAAAUUCGAAAUGUCGAUGAUAGGGGAGCUUUGAUACUUCAUAUGAAUUCAAAUCCAUCAGACUAAGGAAGGAACCUUCAUCAAUCAAGCCAAAUAUUGUAAAGAAUUACAAUAGAGAUUUUACAUGGAGAAGUCGAAAGUAAUAUCAACUCCAAUGUCAAUAUCAUGCAACCUCAACAUGGAUGAAAAAUGGAAAACCAGUUCAAGAAAUUAAAUACCGAGGUAUGAUAGACUAUCUUUUAUAUCUCCCUGCAUCCCAUCCUAAUAUCAUGUUUGAUGUAAGUCUCUGUGCUCGAUUUCAAGCAUUCCCUAAAGAAUCACAUCUUAGUGAGAUCAAAUGCAUAAUGAGAUAUCUCACUGGCACACAACAAAUAGGUUUAUGGUACUCCAAAGGAGCAGAUUAUGAUUUAGUUGGAUACACCGAUUCUAAUUUUGUUGGGUGCAAAUUGGAUAGAAAAGUACCAACGAUACAUGUCAAUUACUUGGGAACUCGCUUGUCUACUAGUAUAGCGAGAAACAAGAAAGUGUUGCAUUAUCCAUAAAUGAGGAAUAAUACGUUGAUGUGUAUGGUCGUUGCUUUCAAAUUAUCUAGAUGAAAUAUCAACUCAGCGAUUAUAACUUUAAUCUUGGAUAUGUCAUGAUAAGAUGCGAUAACACUAGCUCUAUAAACCUCACUAAAAACUCGAUUCUCCAUUCUCGGGCUAAACAUUGAGAGUAAGUACCACUUUAUUAGGGAUACUGUUGAAAAUGGGAUUGUAUGCUUGAGUUUGUGACCUUAUCUAAUCAACUCGCAUAUAUUUUUACAAAACCUCUCCCUAAAGAAAGUUUCUUCUUCUUAAUAACUGAAUUAAGAAUCCAAAAUAAAUCAUGCAUGGAUUAUUAUGCUUAUGUGCUACUACUUCUUCUUCUUAUUAUUAUUAUUAUUAUUAUUAUUAUUAUUAUUAUUCUCCCCUUUAUCUAUAUGUUGAUCUAUGUGUUAUGUCUCUUUCCCUCAUUUUUUUAUUAUGACAAAGCAAGAGAAGUAUUCUCUCAUAGGGAGUAGAGUAUACUCUCUACUCAUGUGAGGGGAGUUUAAUCACUCCAAAUUUUAUCUACCUAUUUUUUUUCUUUUACCGCCUCCUAAGAUAUGUGUUUUCAUCAUCAAGAAAGGGAAAUAAUAUGGAUCUAUGCUUGCAGGUAUGAAGUUGAUGAUCCCGUUGACAACCUUCUUAAAUGCUUUAAUAACGAGAACAUUAAUGACUACUGAAGUCGAUGGUAAUAUAUUUCCAACUCGUUGAUGACGAUGAUAAACUUGAAGACACCUCAAUCCUCAUCAUGUAGAAUACUUAAUAUUCUACUGAAGUUUUUAUAUGAUUGUUGCAUAUGUAAAAGGAACUAGAAAGCCUCAAAGUUGUGAAAGAGAGGAAGUUUAAAAAAUCGUCUGGUCGUGUCUGAGUGACCAAAGUCUUGUGAAAGUGGGAGUAGCUCCUAAGAUACUAAGGCAACUCUCUCUCUCUCUCUCUCUCUCUCUCUCUCUCUCUCCAACUAGGUUUGAUACUUAGCCUCUCGAGCCAAUUCCAUCUUACUACCUUGCAGCGCAGCUACCAAAAGAUACUCAUGAGAAACUUUAGUAACAUGCCACCACAAAAUCAAACAUAUUAUCAUAUUAUUAACCAUAUGUUAAAUCAUUUAGGCAACAAUAUCAUGUCAUUAACCUUAUGUUAUAAUCCUUUGGGAAAAACGUGGAUGACGAUUAUGAAAGUUCAAUCACGUUAUCGUAUGGUAUCGUUUUCUUGAUUUUGAUGUUUUUGUCAAUUUUUGUGUAUAUGAUAAUGUUUACUCGCUUAUUUGUAAUUUGUUUCUUAUUCAAAUAUUUAUGUGUUUGUAAUUCUUUCGUAAUUUGAGUUGCAUUGUGUUUACUUCGGCUAUACAUUAUUGCAUCACUAAGACCCUUCAUUAUUCACUAAAUUAGAGUUUUGAUCCAUGACAAUGUUCCUUUUUUAGCCCAACAUAUUAUUUUUUGUUGUUUCAUCAGGUGUUGCUUGAACCACAAGGUAGAACACUUCGAUCAUUGUGUAAAGUCAUUUGAUUCAAAUCAAGUGUUAUGUAUGACUGAAAUCAUAGACAAUGUGAAAAUUGGAAUUUGCUUCUGGACGAUUUGACUCGAAUCAUAAAUUUAACUUGACUUGAAUCACAACCUAAUGUGACUCGAAUCAUGUUUUAGGGUGAUCUUUCCAUCCAGGUUUGUAAGUGUUGGAAUAAAGAUUAUUCUUAUGAUUUUUUUUAUAUUGAGCUUCAUUCACUCCUUCUAGUACACAACUGCCAUUAGCAUGUCAUUCUUUUCAAAAAUCACACUAUAGUGUCUGAACCGGACUAACAUUGGAUGGAACAAUAGUGCCUCUAGCUAACUAUUUUUAAAUCACAUCUAGUUGAACUAACACUGCAUUAUUUGCAUCCAAUUUUAGUACACCAUUUGGUUUGACUCCCCUUUCACUUUAUGAGCGAUUUUCAUUCAGGAAAUUUUUUUCUAUCAACUAUUUCACCUCGUUUUCAUUCUUCAUUUUGAUGGUACCUCCAGCUGAGGCAUCCAAAAGCAUUCUUGCUUGAGCUUCGAGUCCUCUUGUGAAAUAUUACAUCCGUUUCAUACUACUCACGUUGCGAUUUGGACAUCUUUGGAGUAAUAUUUAGAAUCUCUCACAUGUAUCAGAUAAGAACUCGACAUUACAUAGUUCAAAAUUUGAAAGCUCGGUUCUUCAUUCCACAAACUUAGUGUUCGCGAUUUUUUUUCCAAAAAUUUGUCUUCCGACUCCUUCCAUGUUUGAAUAGUACUGUUGGGUAGACACUACAACCAAUAUUUAAUUAUGCCGACCAGAGAAAAUUUGAACAACCUUAAUUUUAUUUGAUCAUCAAUUGCUCUAUAUGGUUUGCACAUCCAAAUGCUCUCACAGAUCUCUAAUAGCAUGUAUGUCGAAUGAGUUAUCUCUCAAAUCUGAAAGCACAUAAUUCUUAACAUCGAAAGUAACAAGGUUAGCAGGUUGAAAUCCCAAAGAAAUAUGUCCAACACCAGUCCUCCUGCAGUAGUCUCCCAUCAUUUAUCUCAGUGGAAUAGUCAUUUCUUCUUUCUCUUGAUCGCUUUUGUUUUAUAAGAAAUGGGUGUUUUCUUUUCUUCCAGUUUCUCUUUAGCUCAUUGUGCUUCUAUAUUUUCUCUCUGAAUUGAUCUUCGAGUCUUUUUGACCUCUAGAUUUAGUGGUAUCAAUGUCGAACUUGAACCUCACAUAAGCAAUCAGAAAAUACCUUAGUAGCACUGCAACAAACAAAAACUGAAUAAGAGUAAAAAUAAAAAUAACAACAAAAUAACAACAAAAAAACAAAAAAACAAAAAAACAUAGCACACAAUUUUUUUUGUUGAAAUAAUUUGAAAAUCCCUAGCAUUGAUACCAAAAACUUGAUAAACUUUUAACUAGUGUACUAAAUAAUAUUGAAGUAAUAAAACAAAUUCAUAUACAUGGAGAUUGUUUUAUCUUAACAAGGCGAUUAAGGUGCUAUUCUAAAUUAAAUUGGUGGUUUUAAAUAGUGAUUUCUUAAAUAAAAAAUUGUUGGAAAUUUAAUUAGAAUAAAUACGAUUAGGCAUUGCUUCGAAUCCCCUAUAUAUCACUCUUGAUGUCGAUGUCUAAUUGCCCUAAGUGACUCCUCAAUUAUUACGACUAUUUAACUUAGCCAUUAUAGCAAAUUCCUUGGUGUCUAACUCAUUAUUCUACACUACACUCCCUAAUCCCUUAGAUCAGUGGACUAGUUUAAAAAAGCAAUAUUUUGUACAUUAAAUCUUAAGUCAUAACUUAUAAAUUCUUAUCUCUAAUCAAUUACUAAAUUGAAAAGUUAAUUUAGAUUAGAUUCAUAGAAUAGGGUUAGUAAUCACUAUGAUUUAUAAGUUCAUUAUAUGAGUUCAUCAACACAUAUAAGAAAAUGAACACAAAAAUAACUUAUUUAUAAACUAAAUUAAUCAAAUGUGCAAAGAGUAAAAAACUCAAACAUAUGUUCCAAUAGGUUCAUAGCGGUUCAUCUAGUAAGCCCUAAUCAAUAGAAAAUUAGCUACUCAUAAUGAUAAUAAUCAUAGUUGAAGAAAUAAAUAGACAAUACGUGAAUCUUCGGUUAGAAAUUGGCUCCCACCGAUGAAAACAUUUGCUAUAGAGCUCAAAAACUUGUCUUGCCAUCAAAAUUUAUGUACCAAAAACGUCGACACCUUUUUCUCUAAAAUUUCUCCUAUAAAUAGGAAAAAAAACGUGUGACAGAAAAAGGAUGUCAUCGCAUCGUGAUACCUUUAUAUUACGCCACGAUAAGGUGUUCAUCUUGUCGCGAUGUGGCAACAAUUUCUCCAUGGGCUUUUUGUUGAUUUUCUUCAUAUUUCUCUUAUUUAUCCUCUUUCCUUCCUAAGUCUUUCACUUCUUCAUUUAUUUUCUAAUUCUUGAUCAAACUUAACUAAAAUCACCUGUAAACGAUUAGAAAUACAUGUAAAUGCUUAUAAAAUUUACAAGAUGACAAAGUGUUAUCACAUAAACAUCAAGAAUAAUUAAUAAUGGGUAAAAGCUUGAAUAUUACAUCAGAUAAAACACAAAUGAUAUAUACUUAUUAAUUGAUAAACGGUCUUAGAUAACAAUCUCUUUUUUCUUGAAUUAACUUAUGUUAGAUAUCAUUUGAUGAACGUUGUGUAAAUUGAAUAUGGUAUGGAUCCAAGAAACCAUACUUUUAUAAAUCUCUUUGUGCACAAAACUGAUGCAUGUAACUAAAUUAUGUUAAUAUAAAAUUUGACAUUAAAAGUGUUUGAUAAUAAUGAAUAUAAUUUGAAAUCACCAUAAAAGUUGUACUUACAUGUACCAUAAUUGAAGUACGAUUAUAUAAGCCAGUUAAUACCCUUCACAAAAUCCCUAAUACAACUCUGAUAUUUUUUUUCUAGAUCAUGUUCUAAUUGUAUUCUUAAAGAUUCUCCCAUAUCCUCUAUCAUGCUUGUCAAUAUAUGAAAUGAACCUCGUUAAGGCUCAUGGGUCUCAAUCGAUAAGUGACAACCAUCAAUUUCAAUUGAUGCAUCAUAAAAACAAUAGCAACACAAUAUAUAAUUUUAAGAAUGCAAAUAACAAUAACAUACAACACAUACUUUUAAUCAGACAAAUGAAAAAGGAAGAUCCUAAACCAAACUUAUAUUUACUUCAAUCACAUCCCGAGCCAUAUUGUCCCACAUCACCUUGGUCACACUCUUCUGCAUCUCAUUGGUCACCAUCUCAUUCGUCUCCUUGGUCACCCUCUCAUGCACCUCCUUGGUCAAACUCUCCCCCACCUCCUUAGUCAUCCUCUCUUGCACCUUCUUGGUCACCCUCUCUUGCACUUCUUGGCCCACCCUCUCCUCCACCUCCUGGGUCACACUCUUUCGCAUAUACGUCCACUUCUUUUCUAAUGUUUCCUAUAUCUUCCCAUGCAUCUUCUCCUCUAACCUCUGGUCUACUAACUCUUCAAUUUGUUUUUAGCGCAUAUUGUCACUCUUUAAAGAUGAUCUAAAAAAUAACCUCAAGUUAACGCCUCAUCCAGCACCACAGGUACGCCCAUCAUACUCAUUAAUUCCAAUCAUUUCAACCAAUAUGUCAUAACAUAAUUUCCAAUAUAUUACAACGAUUUUAAGCGAUGUAAAAUUUGUAAAUAUUUGUAAAUAUUUGUUUAUUAUGUAAAAUAUAUGGCACUUGAAACCGCCAUGAUUUAAAAAAAACACCUUAAACUAUGUAUAAAACAAAGGUUUUUGAGGCGUUUAAUUUUAAACCGUUUGUGGUAGAUAAGUUUACUACGUUUUAAAAUAACGUAAUUGUGGCGGAUGAAACACUCGAAAUCUUCUUCAAUAAACCACAACAAUUUACACGCUUUGUUAAGUGGCUCUUACUUUAAAUUUAAAAUAAUUUAAAGUGAUCAAUAAUUAUAAAUAUUGUGAUAUUUCAAACUUAAAACUUACGAGUAUUAUUUUAUUAAAAGUAAAAUAACAUUCAUUCAUUUAAGUUAAUAAAGUACAUCGAUAGGUGACAAUUCAAACUCUGAUUAGAAACAACAAGGAUAAAUUAUGAAGAUAAUUGCAUGCACAUAUGACAAUAUCUAUAACUAUGAUAAAAUUAAGUGUUUAAAAUAUAUGCCUUUCAAUUUAUAAUGUUGCUAAUGUUAUUGAAGGAGAAUGCAUUAGAUAAAAAUAAUUUGUUAGUAUGAAUCAUAUGAACAUGCUAGGAAACACAAAAAUAAGACAACUUUGCUGAUCAAAACAUAAACAAAGCAAUGAAAAAAAAACACAAACAGAAAAAAUCUGAGUGUAUGUAAACUCAUUUAUUUAAAUUAAAAUGAAAGGGCAUUUAAGAUCAAAAGGGUGCUUCUAGAUAAAAAAAAUAGGAUUUUUUACAAAAAUAACCCACUUUUUCAAGAAAAAAUCUAAAAUACUCCUGGUUUUAAAAAAAAUCCCAAACUACCUCAUUUUUAGAAGGAGUCGCCAAUUGAAUUGGAGACUCCUCUUAAAAAUUGAAUGGAGACGCCAAUUGCAUUGGCUAGGUCAGGUGCCCUAGCCAAUCCAAUUGGCGUCUCCAUUCAAUUUUUAAGAGGAGAGAGACUCCUCUUAAAAAUUGAAUGGAGACGCCAAUUGCAUUGGCUAGGUCAGGUGCCCUAGCCAAUCCAAUUGGCGUCUCCAUUCAAUUUUUAAGAGGAGUCUCCAAUUCAAUUGGCGACUCCUCCUAAAAGUGGGGUAGUUUCCAAUUGGCGCCCCUGUGUAGGGUUUAAGAGGAGGCGCCAAUUCAAUUGGAGACUCCUCCUAAAAUGCAAUUUUUGUGUUAUAAAUAGAUGCGUUGUGUGAGUAAUUGUUCGACAUCUCAUAUAAUCAUUUGGAAAUCAUGUUUGGUGUUCCUCGCCGAUACGGAAAGGUGCUUUAUGCGAGAGACAAACCUCAGAUGCUGAUGUUGUUCCAAAACAUCACUACGUUCGAUCAACUGAAGAGGGAGUUGGUUCGUUGGUUAGAUGGGAAAAUACCAAAAGGGGAAAAAUUAGAAGUAUUGAGAGACUUAACAGUAUCUUUGGUUGGGUGCGAAUGAAGACUGAUAAGGAUGCUAGGGAAAUGAUGUUCGGUCGAGACGACAUCAAUUUGAUUGUUGUAAUCAGUUAGAAAUAUUUCUAUUUUCAAAUAGCUUAUUUUGUACUGAUGUUUGUUGUGAACCUCGUUGUAACAAAAACUUAAUGAUAUAUAAUGAUUGAAGGUUACAGAAAUACAAUGUUACAAAAAGCUUAAGACCUAGAUGAUGCUCCUCGAUUGGGACAGUUGUUCUUGUUGUGUCCUGGUUGACGACAUAUACUAUAUAAUCUUAUCAUUUUAUCUGUGGAAUCCAUCUCCGUUCUGAUACGUGUGUUGUUUGGCCUUCCUUUUUUCUUUCUACGCAUCUCGUCAUUGUGCCAAACAAUAUCACCUUUUACCAAAUCUCUACUCCUUUUUAGUUCCUGCACAUUUGUACAAAUGUGAGAACCGCAUCCAGUAUCUAAUACCCAUGAUGCAGAAGUAGAUAAAUUAAUAACAAAAAUACCUGAAGUUGAAGUCUCUACUUCCUUCUUCUUAUCUUCCAGAUACUUUGGGCAGUUCCUCUUCCAGUGCCCGGUCUUACCGUAAUGGAAGCAGGUGCCUUCUUUUGCUAUGCCUCCACUAGGCUUCAAAGCAGCAGUGGAUCUGGGAUUGGCAACUUCCUUGCCCUUCCCCUUAUCACUCUGCUUAGUGGGCCUUUUGUUCUGUCUCUUUCCAUUUCCGAUCAUCAGAAUGGACUUCCCUUUUGACUUCAGAUUCUGCUCGGCAGUUCUUAACAUGGCGAGCAGUUCAGGAAGAGAUUUGUCCAUAUCAAUCAUAUUGAAAUUUAGGACAAAUUGACUGAAACUAUCUGGCAACGAUUGCAAGAUCAAAUCAGUUGCAAGUUCCUUUUCGAGGGGAAAACCCAAUCUCUCAAGGUUUUCCACAUACCCAAUCAUCUUGAGUACAUGGGGACUUACAGGGGCUCCCUCAGCUAACUUGCUUUGAAAAAGGGCUUUUGAAACUUCAAACCUCUCAUGCCUUGCUUGCUCUUGAUAGAGCAACUUCAGGUGUUCGAUCAUAUCGAACGCUGACAUGUUCUCAUGUUGCUUUUGCAAUUCUGAGUUCAUGGUAGCCAGCAUGAGACAAGCAGUUUCAUUGGCAUCAUCGACAUGCUUCUUAUAAGCAUCUCUUUCUGCCUUAGGUGCAGAACUAGGAGGUUCCUCUUCAGGAACAGGUGUCUCCAAGACAUACAGCUUUUUAUCAUGUUUGAGGACAAUCCUCAGGUUUCGGUGCCAAUCCAGAAAAUUUGUCCCAGACAAUUUUUCCUUGUCAAGGAUUGAUCGCAAGAUGUUGUUAGAGGUGUUUGCUGUCAUGGUUAUCUACAUAAGGAUUAAGAAAAUAUAAGUAUCAUUGACAUAUUUAAUUAGGCCUUUAAUUAAAUAUGCUCCCACUAUUUUACUCAAAACAAAUGACCCUCAUCAUUUGAUUCGGAAAAUCCCGUUGGAAGAUUUUCUAGUGGGUCGAGAUCCAUAUUUCACUUCGUUCUAAGUCCGCGUAGGCGGAUUACACAAAACUAGGUUAUUUAGGUAGGAACUCCUUCCAAUUGUAUCUCAUACAACUCUCGAAAAUUUCAGUUGGGUGAAUAACUCCUUAUUCCAAUCCAUCAUAUGGAUCAUUCCCAACUCUUGCUUCUAAACAUAUAUAUAAUCUUAUUAUAAUUUGUUUAGUUAAGUUUGACCCAUUGUUUUAACAGUUGGAUAUUACAAUUAUCCCAUCGCACCUUACUAAUAUAGAACAUGCACCUCGCGUAGGCGAAACCUACAUUAUUCGUUACUAGUCUUGAUGAGUGUUAAAACUUGGAAAGCAUAAACUUAAUAUUUAUUUUGAGGGAAUUGCAAUUUUUCUGAUCUCACCGGCUUGUUUAUCAUAUAAAUCGUCUCUCACAUGCAUCAACAUACAUUCACAUGCAUCAACAUACAUACAAACAAAAUGAAACAGUUAUGGCCCCUAGCGCAAUUGUUCUCCCAAGCCAAUGAGAGAACCUAAGCUAACCUACAACGAUCUAAGCUUCUCCAAGCAAGAUCUUCAAGGUUGUCCUCCUUUGGCACUGACUUCUUUGCUUUCUUCAUAUCAUUACAUUACAUGAAAGAAACUCGUUUUACAUACGAGGGAGUGAGAUGAGAAAAGAAGUUACAUUUGGGAGAUUAAGAGAGAGGCACAACACGCAGGUCGUAUUUUAAAAACCCAAAACAAAACAAAGGAAAACUAAGGCCAUAACCGAUCACCACAAGACAAUAAUAAACACUUUAUUAUUAUUAUUAAUUCCUUUAAUUAAUUAAAAUCAAAUUAAAUUUCGACGACCGAUCACACUACGCAGAGUUAGCCGGGGGUCCGCGUAGUUUUCGUAUCAACACUUGAUACUUCAAAGCACUUUUCUAGUCGAACGGGUGAAUUUUUUUCUUGCGUUAACCGGUUAACCGUAUGUGUUAACCGGUUAACACUGUUUGAAAACUUUUAGAAAAUUCUUUUCUGCCUUACGUUAACCGGUUAACCAUAUGCGUUAACCGGUUAACACUGUUGAAAAAUUUCUUGGAAAACUGUUUUUCGCCUUGCGUUAAUCGGUUAACCAAAUACGUUAACCGGUUAACACUGUUUGAAAAUUAAAAAAAAAUUAUUUCGUAUUGCGUUAACCGGUUAACCAUACGCGUUAACCGGUUAACACUGUUCGGAAAAGUGUUUAGAACGCACAACUCUUGUGCAGUCACAACCCCAAUCGCAUAACUCUCUGACAACACAACCCUUGUGCCGUCACUAACCCUGAUGCACCAAUUUCAGACCGUCAAACACAUCUCGAUUGUUGAUUCAGUAUGAUUGAUCAACACGUCAUUGCUUCACCAUACUAAUGUCGGAUCAAGAAGCAAACGACCAUUGAUCGCUCAAAGGAAAACAAUCAUUGAGUGUUUGAAUGAACGAAACGAGAACACUAUAUCAUAUAUAAUGUAUUUUGCAUCAGGAUUACAUAUAUCAUAUAUAUGUAACUUGAUCGAUCUCAAUUUAAUCUUUGAUUCAUUCUGUCUUUAAUCAUAUUAUUACAGAACAAAAACAGUUAUCAGAUUCAUGGUUUCGUAAGUGGCUCUGAUACCACUGAAGGAGAAUUGCCAUCCAAGGCGCAGCGGAAUUUAAAAAUUUCUCCAUUUAGUGAUCCUUACGAAUGGGCAUGAUCAGUGAUAGAAUCGUUACCUCUUGUGGCGAUUCAAACCUUUGGUGCAGAUCUCUGAUAAUGAUCAAAACCUUUGAUACAGAUCCACGGGGCGAUCACGAACGUUGAACGAUGACAACGUCUCUACUCAGUCCACACGAACGGAUUCCUUCAAUCGCAGUGCUAGCUGUUAUGAAUGAAGGCUUUGAGUGAGAGAAAGAGAGAUACGAAAUUCCAACUCUUCAGUUGUGUUGUAUUCCCAUACAAUGCUUCUGCACAAGAGUUCUAUUUAUAGAACCACUUGUGUGGGCUUCAAGCCAAAAAGCCCACUUAAGUGCAUUUUGGCCCAUAUCUCAUAAUAUGCCAAAAUCACUUAAGUAUUUGGUACCUUACCAUAUUUCGUAUCCCACUUAAGUGCACCGUACCUUACGGUGUUCCUUAGUUACUCUAUCUCUCAUCAAUCCGUCCUUUGUGUGUGACCCUGUAGGUUUUCGCGGCGUUGGCAAUUAUAUUAAAUCACGCAUUUAACAUAAUAAACAGUGAGCGGUAUCUAGCAACACAUCACUGCUACCCAAGUCACGAAAAUGUCAUGUGAUCUGACAAAACCUCCUGUGAUAAUAAUUAUGUGUAUAAUUACCCCUUUGCCCUUAUGUCUAUAUUGAACACAAGGUAUAGACCGUGUCACCCUUGUCCAGUUCAAUAUUGGGCCCAUAGACAUUUAUCCUGUUACGCAGGAUUGGCAAAUUCCAUCUAGGACACUCAUGUCCCUCAGCAUGCUUCGUGGAGUACCCAUCAACUGUCUUUAUGGUUAUCCAGUUACGGACAACGUUGGAUCAGCAAUAAAGCACUCGACUCUACAUCUAGGAUCCAUAGUGGUUUCAGGUCGAAGAGUGGUAUACACUAUUAUCACCAUGAGAAUAACUUAUGACACUUUGCAUAACUUUCUAUAUAGUAUUCUCAUAGCGGGUCAAUCCGGUAUAAAUAUUACUCCUAAUAUUCAUACCUAUGUUUAAGACUUGAUAACUCUUUAUCCAUGAUCCAUGAGAUGUGAUCAUCAGUCUACAAACAUAAUAGUCUUAAUGCUUUAAUGUUAUCCCACUUCACAUUAAAGCUCGACUACGGAUACUUUAAGAAUAGUGUCCUUAUGUUUAAUGUGUUCUCAUGAUUAAGUCACACUUAAUACAUUAAACGGACUAUCUAUUCUAGGGACUUUAUUAAUCAACCAUAAUAAAGAAAAUGCCUUUUUAUUAUUCGAUACAAGUACCAAAAGUAUUGGCCUCUAGGGCUUACAUCAACACUUCAUGCAACACUCACUAAAUACUUGCCCGGACAUUAACACCGCACUCCAUCUUUCACAUUUGGUUGCGAACAUAGAAGCCAACCUAUAAUAGGUUGAUCUUACCAAGGCGGUUAUCGGAAGAUUUCGAAUUCCUUUGAAUACCCCGUUCAUGCAUUCCACGAUGUUUGUUGUUAUGUGGCCCCAUCGACAACCUAUGUCAAAUGCCCUUGUCCACUGCUCUACUGGUAUGUUAUUUAGCCAUCUCCCCGCGUCUUUAUUAGACAAUCUAAUUUCAUCAAGAUAAUAUUGAAAUGACGGCUGAGUUAGAGCAUACCUGUCGCGGCGGGAUUUUUCACGAGAUUAAGUAUUGAUUGAACUUAACCCAUUUUAAAUGCAAGAGUCGCCACCGUCUUUUAUUUUAUCCAAAAAGAGGAAGGGAAAAAUAACGAUAAAUCCCUUUAGGUGGACGGUUGCGUUGGGGCUUGGUGUAGUGGCAAGGGAGGGAUUAGCCGUUACAUGGCGUAAUCCUCGCACGGAACAGGAUCACCUUAUGUGACUUAUGGUGUUAUGUCGUAAUGCUUGCUUUUCGUUCGUGUGAUCUGCUUUGAUUGGGAGAUGAGAAAAGAACUUGAUUUCAUAUUGCUUUUGCGGACCUCGGAUAAAAUCGCUUCAGACUUUUUCUGCUACGUAUCUCCCAUGAGGCGACAUUGCGCAGGAAAAUCACUCCACGCUAGGUUCUCCAAAAGAAAAGGGGAGAAGUCUGUUUUGUGGAUUUUUAGAGUUUGGCGUGUGCUUGCCAUCUCCUUGCUCGACCUAGGCUGGGAGGCUUCGAGACUUGAUCACGUCUCUUGGGUGAAAUGUUUUUAAACUGAAAGCCAAAUGCUGGCAAAAGAUUUGAAGUGAGCCGCUAAUAUCCCUCUGAAACAAUAAAUAAAUGGCCUCCUAUAUAAGGAAGCUCCAAUGAGCAGUGUUGUGAGUGUGGUUGAAAAGGUUUUCUUAAACGGCGACGCGUUGGNNNNNNNNNNNNNNNNNNNNNNNNNNNNNNNNNNNNNNNNNNNNNNNNNNNNNNNNNNNNNNNNNNNNNNNNNNNNNNNNNNNNNNNNNNNNNNNNNNNNNNNNNNNNNNNNNNNNNNNNNNNNNNNNNNNNNNNNNNNNNNNNNNNNNNNNNNNNNNNNNNNNNNNNNNNNNNNNNNNNNNNNNNNNNNNNNNNNNNNNNNNNNNNNNNNNNNNNNNNNNNNNNNNNNNNNNNNNNNNNNNNNNNNNNNNNNNNNNNNNNNNNNNNNNNNNNNNNNNNNNNNNNNNNNNNNNNNNNNNNNNNNNNNNNNNNNNNNNNNNNNNNNNNNNNNNNNNNNNNNNNNNNNNNNNNNNNNNNNNNNNNNNNNNNNNNNNNNNNNNNNNNNNNNNNNNNNNNNNNNNNNNNNNNNNNNNNNNNNNNNNNNNNNNNNNNNNNNNNNNNNNNNNNNNNNNNNNNNNNNNNNNNNNNNNNNNNNNNNNNNNNNNNNNNNNNNNNNNNNNNNNNNNNNNNNNNNNNNNNNNNNNNNNNNNNNNNNNNNNNNNNNNNNNNNNNNNNNNNNNNNNNNNNNNNNNNNNNNNNNNNNNNNNNNNNNNNNNNNNNNNNNNNNNNNNNNNNNNNNNNNNNNNNNNNNNNNNNNNNNNNNNNNNNNNNNNNNNNNNNNNNNNNNNNNNNNNNNNNNNNNNNNNNNNNNNNNNNNNNNNNNNNNNNNNNNNNNNNNNNNNNNNNNNNNNNNNNNNNNNNNNNNNNNNNNNNNNNNNNNNNNNNNNNNNNNNNNNNNNNNNNNNNNNNNNNNNNNNNNNNNNNNNNNNNNNNNNNNNNNNNNNNNNNNNNNNNNNNNNNNNNNNNNNNNNNNNNNNNNNNNNNNNNNNNNNNNNNNNNNNNNNNNNNNNNNNNNNNNNNNNNNNNNNNNNNNNNNNNNNNNNNNNNNNNNNNNNNNNNNNNNNNNNNNNNNNNNNNNNNNNNNNNNNNNNNNNNNNNNNNNNNNNNNNNNNNNNNNNNNNNNNNNNNNNNNNNNNNNNNNNNNNNNNNNNNNNNNNNNNNNNNNNNNNNNNNNNNNNNNNNNNNNNNNNNNNNNNNNNNNNNNNNNNNNNNNNNNNNNNNNNNNNNNNNNNNNNNNNNNNNNNNNNNNNNNNNNNNNNNNNNNNNNNNNNNNNNNNNNNNNNNNNNNNNNNNNNNNNNNNNNNNNNNNNNNNNNNNNNNNNNNNNNNNNNNNNNNNNNNNNNNNNNNNNNNNNNNNNNNNNNNNNNNNNNNNNNNNNNNNNNNNNNNNNNNNNNNNNNNNNNNNNNNNNNNNNNNNNNNNNNNNNNNNNNNNNNNNNNNNNNNNNNNNNNNNNNNNNNNNNNNNNNNNNNNNNNNNNNNNNNNNNNNNNNNNNNNNNNNNNNNNNNNNNNNNNNNNNNNNNNNNNNNNNNNNNNNNNNNNNNNNNNNNNNNNNNNNNNNNNNNNNNNNNNNNNNNNNNNNNNNNNNNNNNNNNNNNNNNNNNNNNNNNNNNNNNNNNNNNNNNNNNNNNNNNNNNNNNNNNNNNNNNNNNNNNNNNNNNNNNNNNNNNNNNNNNNNNNNNNNNNNNNNNNNNNNNNNNNNNNNNNNNNNNNNNNNNNNNNNNNNNNNNNNNNNNNNNNNNNNNNNNNNNNNNNNNNNNNNNNNNNNNNNNNNNNNNNNNNNNNNNNNNNNNNNNNNNNNNNNNNNNNNNNNNNNNNNNNNNNNNNNNNNNNNNNNNNNNNNNNNNNNNNNNNNNNNNNNNNNNNNNNNNNNNNNNNNNNNNNNNNNNNNNNNNNNNNNNNNNNNNNNNNNNNNNNNNNNNNNNNNNNNNNNNNNNNNNNNNNNNNNNNNNNNNNNNNNNNNNNNNNNNNNNNNNNNNNNNNNNNNNNNNNNNNNNNNNNNNNNNNNNNNNNNNNNNNNNNNNNNNNNNNNNNNNNNNNNNNNNNNNNNNNNNNNNNNNNNNNNNNNNNNNNNNNNNNNNNNNNNNNNNNNNNNNNNNNNNNNNNNNNNNNNNNNNNNNNNNNNNNNNNNNNNNNNNNNNNNNNNNNNNNNNNNNNNNNNNNNNNNNNNNNNNNNNNNNNNNNNNNNNNNNNNNNNNNNNNNNNNNNNNNNNNNNNNNNNNNNNNNNNNNNNNNNNNNNNNNNNNNNNNNNNNNNNNNNNNNNNNNNNNNNNNNNNNNNNNNNNNNNNNNNNNNNNNNNNNNNNNNNNNNNNNNNNNNNNNNNNNNNNNNNNNNNNNNNNNNNNNNNNNNNNNNNNNNNNNNNNNNNNNNNNNNNNNNNNNNNNNNNNNNNNNNNNNNNNNNNNNNNNNNNNNNNNNNNNNNNNNNNNNNNNNNNNNNNNNNNNNNNNNNNNNNNNNNNNNNNNNNNNNNNNNNNNNNNNNNNNNNNNNNNNNNNNNNNNNNNNNNNNNNNNNNNNNNNNNNNNNNNNNNNNNNNNNNNNNNNNNNNNNNNNNNNNNNNNNNNNNNNNNNNNNNNNNNNNNNNNNNNNNNNNNNNNNNNNNNNNNNNNNNNNNNNNNNNNNNNNNNNNNNNNNNNNNNNNNNNNNNNNNNNNNNNNNNNNNNNNNNNNNNNNNNNNNNNNNNNNNNNNNNNNNNNNNNNNNNNNNNNNNNNNNNNNNNNNNNNNNNNNNNNNNNNNNNNNNNNNNNNNNNNNNNNNNNNNNNNNNNNNNNNNNNNNNNNNNNNNNNNNNNNNNNNNNNNNNNNNNNNNNNNNNNNNNNNNNNNNNNNNNNNNNNNNNNNNNNNNNNNNNNNNNNNNNNNNNNNNNNNNNNNNNNNNNNNNNNNNNNNNNNNNNNNNNNNNNNNNNNNNNNNNNNNNNNNNNNNNNNNNNNNNNNNNNNNNNNNNNNNNNNNNNNNNNNNNNNNNNNNNNNNNNNNNNNNNNNCAAAUAAUCGGACAAUACGAAAACUCUAAUAUAUUCGAAAUACAGUCAAAAUACCGACAAACAAACAAUUAAAUAGAUAAAAACGCACAAAACCUAAUCGAAGCGAUGUCACGCACAACAGAGAUAAGCGAGAUAAAUACGAGGCAACGAUAUCGGCCAGGUUUUGCUAAAACAACGAAAUACAACACGGUAAGCAACGAAAACACACAAAACCUAAUCAAACCAGUUAUCACGCGAAGUUUAAGAAAUUGAGAUGAAUACGAGACAACGAGAUUAAUCAAGAUGUGGUCAACAAAGCCAAAGUCAAAUUUUGGGGUGCGACAAUACCCAACAUUCACCACCUUCUUGCGAAGAUUCUUAUCUUUUAUAGCACGCAUGAAGUUUUGUGCAAUGUGCCUGAUACAAUAGAUAUGGGUAGAAGGAGGAUCAUGCCAUCUGUUGUCAUGGUUGUUGUAGGCACUCCCAAUGGCAGCAUGUCUAUCAGAAAUCAAACAGAGAUUGGCUUGUGGAGCCACAUGCUUUCUGAGAUGUCGAAGAAAGAAACCCCAUCCACCAGUCGUUUCACCUUCAACAAGAGCAAAGGCAAUGAGAAAUACAUUGUUGUUGUCGUCUUGUGCAACCGCCAUGAGCAAAGUACCAUUGUAUUUUCCGUAUAACCAAGUGUCAUCAAUUUGAAUAAUAGGUUUGCAGAAUGCGAAACCUUUGAUGCACUGGUCAAAUGCCUAAAAGAGAUGGUGAAAGAUUCUAUUACCUAUAGCACAGGUUCCGUCUGGCAUCAUCGCUGGCAAUGUCUCCAUAAUUGCCACAGUUCUUGGGACAUAUGUUUUUAGUGCCCAUAAAAACUGUGGCAAUUCCUUGUAUGAAUCCUCCUAGUUGCCGAAAACUUGUUCAACAGCCUUUGUCCUCGCAAUCCAGGCUUUCUUGUAAGAUGGAGUAUAAUUAUAUGUUGUUCUGAUAUGGGAUAUAAUUAUACUCACCUUCACUGAUGGGUCUUUAUUAACCAACGGCAGAAUGUCUUGACAUAUCAACGUUGCGCUUAGUUUACGGUGAUCUUGUUCAACGUUAGUUGCAAUGCAACUGUGAGGUGGGUCUAUUGAAGCGAUCUCCCAAGAGUCGUUUUUCUUCUUGUAAGACGCAGCCAAACGAAACUUACAAAGCAUGUUACGACAUUCGAUAACAUACCUUCUAGAAUCAGCGCGUUUCAUUGUAAAGUCAGCAGAGUUGUUCAUGUGGAUUUUUUUGAUAGCCAGAACAAAUUCUUCUUUGGUACGAAACAUGUCUCCCACCUUUAAUUCGCCUUCUGAUCUCGGAUACAGAUUAUAGAAAACACUGUUGGAUGUUUCAUCGUCGUGCAUAUCCAUAUUUGUCAUAUGUUGAGGCGGAUUGUAGACAUGACUAGGAGGUAUUGGUGGUAGUUGAUCAUCAUCUUCAUCGUCGUUGUUCAGCAUGUGAUCAACCUGUAUCUCGGUCUCCUCUUCUUCUUCAUCAACGACGUCCACUUCUGAUUCUGCUUCUGGGUUGACGUCAUCUGACCAUUGUGGAUCAAAUUCACCAGAUUCAUCCUGACUGGUUAAUUGAGAAUGUUGAGAUGGUAUACAUGGUUGAAGAGUAAUGUACAACUCAAUACAGUUGCAGCCUGAAUGUUCAUGACUAACAAACAUGUAUUCAACAUCUUCAUCCUCUCGUACCUUAAGGGGGAAAUACUUGCAUUGACUAUUCUAAAAAAAUAUUAGAUUUUGAUAUGUGAUCUUUGACACAAUACCCGAUCCUAUACAGGAUUGUAUUCUUUUUUUCAAAUGCAAGAAGGUUUCAUUUCUCUUGACCGUGAGUCUAAUGGUAUCGGUGUUUCGAAAAUAAAAACCAUAUAGCUCAGACUCGUAUGUUUCACCGUUGCAGUGAACGUUGACAUUGUAUAAUGAUGAAGAUGAUAUUGUGUAGAUGAAAACUAUUUUCUUACUGCAGAUGAAUGUGAGUGAAGUGUCUUGGAUGUUGAUAGUAAGAUACUUAAAUAGAGGAGUGAAGUGUCUCACAUGCUAGCUAGUUCGAAGUGACGUGUCGCACAUGCAAGCCACUCCGAAGUGACGUGUCGCACAUGGAAGCUACUCCAAAAUUAUGUGUCAACCAUGCAAGCUACUAAGAAGUGACAUGUUCACCAUGCAAGAGAGAGGACAGCCACAUGUCAGACAUGCAGACACACACUCCAAAUGAAUUGGCGCCCCCACUCAUUCCUUGCACAUGGGCGCCAAUUCAAGUGGAAACACCUUAUCAAAGCAUGCAUUCAGGUCUCGAAACCAAGCAAUCAGACCUAGGUCUUGCAUGCAUGUCCCUAUGGAGGUGCUAAUUUGAAUGGCGACCCCUCUUAAAGGUUGUACAUGGUCGCCAAUUCAAGUGGAGACACCAUGCAAGCAUAACUUUUCAUGCUCCCAUCCAUUUGCCUAUAAAUACAUCCACUCCAUCAACACUUCUAUAGAUAACAAAUUCAUUCUAGCUUUAUGCGAAAGAUGGAGACCAGAGACACACACAUUUUGGUUCCCAACCGGUGAGUGUACCGUGACGUUAGAAGACGUCUACAUGCUUUUGGGACUACCCAUUGAAGGUAUGGCUGUUAAUGGUAAAACCAACUAUGCAAAUUCAAUUUGCAUGGAUCUCUUGGAGACUGAUUUGUUAGAUGAUAACGCAAGAGAUCAAGGUAUACUACUCUCAUGCCUUAAGUCGUACUAUAAUAGUUUAUACUUAGAUGAGGAUUCUACCGAAGAUGCUCGAAUAAUAAAAACUAGGUGUUACAUUAUGCUGUUAGUUGGCUCGUUUUUAUUUCCCGAAGGUAGUGGUUCUAGCAUGCAUAUCAUGUAUUUACCUCUACUUAGACAUGUAGAUAGAAUGGGAAGUUACAGUUGGGGAUUUGCUUGUCUAGCCUAUCUCUAUAGCUCCUUGUGCAAAAACUCACACAAAGACACAUCUACAUUUUCUGGAUUUGUUGUUUUGCUACAAGCAUGGGGUUGGUCAAGACUGCCAUCUCUAGCACCCGUCAAUAACAACCCUUUCACAUUUUCGUAUGCACAAAAGUAAGUUGUUUAAAUUGCUAUAUCUUUACUUACUUCUUUAAAGAUUAUUACCUCUAACUAAUAUUUUUUGACUUUUUGGUGUAGAUGGUCUGCACGUGGUAUGAGUUACAACAGAUGUCCAAGACAUUGUAUUACUCAGUAUCGCAACCUGUUGGAUCACCUUCGGCCGAAAGACGUAAGAAAAAUAACUUAAUUAUUUCGUUAUAUUUUGUUAACUUCUUCUACCUUGACUAUAAUCCAAUCUUCUUUCACAUUUCAGUUCAUUUGGCGUCCAUACCUUAAUUUGGAUCAUGACCAUGAGGUCAACACUGAAGACGCGGCCGUAUGGACUGCAUGCACACCGAUAAUACCUGUAGAACCUCAAAUUUGCACCUCCCAUUUGUAUAUACAUUUCAUUUUUAGGUCAUUAACAUCACAUUAACAUUGCAUUGUCAUUGCAUUGUCCAUUGCAUCUCAUCAGGCAAGACUGGUCAGGAGAUUCAACUGUGCAAGGCAACAAGAGCAUUUUCCACGAGAUCAAAGCCCUAGGGUGAUUCCCAUGAGUUCACAUGAUUCAAGGAUCAUUUUGAGGUGAUUUGGCCAAGUGCUGAAGGCUCAGAACUCAUCAGUCCAUGUGCAAAUCAUCUGAGGCCCACAAAGUCAACAGAAGUCAACUGCACAGUCAACUGUGGAUUUGGAGGUGGGAAGUGGUUAGAGAUGCUUCAUUCAUGUUCAAACAAGUCUCAUUUGACAUUUCAAACAUCAACAUUGAAGAAUUUGAAGUCAGGUCAAGACUUUCCAAAAAUACCAGGUGACCUGUAAUUUGAACUUUCCAAAAAUGGAAAGGUUUUGGACCAACUUCAACUCAACUUUCCAACAUCAAAGAAGCUUAAAAUGAAAUUUUGUCCAACAUGAAAGUUGAAGAUCUUUCUCUCCCAUUUCCAAAAAGUCAAAGAUCAUGGAUUUCUCAUGUGUGGUUGAGGAGAUAUGGUCAAAUCAUGGCAAAGUGUGUUUCAAAGUUCAAAUGGACAUAACUUUCAAACCAAAACUCCAAAAUGAGUGGUUCUUUUUGCAUUUUGAUCCUUAUAACAUGUAUUUUCCAAGCAUACCAUUAUUUGACAACAUGAAUUUCAUUUGCAUGGCCUUUGGUUUAUUCAUGAAGUUUUUGGAAGAAAAUUGCAUAAAGUCAUUUUAAUUGAUCAUGAGCAUACCAAACCAAUUCCAACAUGUGCAUGGACUCAUUUUAAGGUAUUUUGGGCCAGAGACAUGUAUUGUUCACGUGCAUGGCAUGAGGGUGAGGUGAAAAAGCAUUUUUGCACAAACACCUUCCAACUUGCUAAUCACCUUUGGCUUUGGCUUAAACAUGAUUAAAACCUCAUUAGCAUAGCAUAUAUAUACUUAACCCCAACUGUUUUUGGUCAUUAGCACAUUUUCAGAUCUAGAAUCACAAAUUCUCAAAAAAAAUCUCUCAAACUUUCUUCCAAAAUUCUUCAAACGCAAACACUUUUCAUUGAUCAAUUCAUGUUCAUGAGGCAUUUCUGAGCACAUUUGGACGUGGAAUCAAGAGAAAUUGUGGCAUAUUGAGUUGGAUUCAAAGUGUGAAGCAUCCAUGGCAAUUGAAGAUUGAGCUAGAUUCGUAUGCAUUCAAGCUUCCAUUUCAUCAUCAUUCACUUCCUUAAGCAGUGUGGAGAAGGAUUGAAGCAUUGUCAGGCCUUGAAGCAAGCUGAAUCAACUUCUGUUCUUCAAUAGGUCAGAAUUCGACCUCUUCUAUUUUGCAAAUGGUUGUGAUAUUCUUGUAGUUCAUUGAUUGGUGAUAAUGCUGAUGAAAAUUUGGAGUGAUUUGGUGCUGUUUUGAGCAAGAUAUGUUCAAUUGAAGUUUUGAUGCAGCCUUUAUUUUCUUCGAUUUGGAAUUGAUGUUGUUGUUUUUGCAUGAUUCAUGGCUUGAUCCGUGCUUACUAUAAGAAAUCCUGUUGAAUGAUGUCCUUGUUUAUAUUUCUGGACAUAUUUUUGUUUCUUGGAAAUUUCCAGAUGAAGAUCUUCAUGAUCUUCAUCGUUCAGCAAUAGGUGUUCAUCAUUUCCAGAAAUUGCUACAACCCUUGCUUCCAUUAGCUACGAAACUGGCAUGUGUAAAUUCCAAUAGCUACGAAAUCCAUGCAGCGCGCGUGUUUAGGGUUUGAAUGUGCAAAACACAGUCGUUUGGCAUGGCGCGCCUAGGAUUUCAAAUUUGGACUCGGCUUCGAAUCCGGAGCGAAGCCAUAAUUUUCCAUUUGCCUGCCCAUUGUAUUCCGAGUAUCCCAAUUUCCAUCAUUCAUGUUCAUUCCACAUUUUUGUUUCAUAAAUUCUUUCCAAAUUCUAAAAAUCAUAUAAAAUUGAAAAAUUUAUCCAAAAUGAAUCUCCAAUUUUUGCAUCAUGAUCGCUCAUUGCUGUCUACUUUUGUAUGAGUAUAAAUGGAAAGUUGGCUGGCUUAAAAACAUGAUUGUGCCUAGGGUGAUUGCACAUGGAUUAGUUGACCCUUGCCUUAUUCAUUUGAUCAUAAAAUGCUCAAAAAUAUCCAUAUGCUUCUGAAAUUUUUGUGUGUAGCUUCAGACAUGUUGAGGAUAUUUUGGUUUGCUUUGUUAGAUAUUUUGCCCAUCGCUCCCACUCUGUUUUAUGCCAUCCGCAACUGUUGUGACAAUCUUGUGUCACACAUGUGCUUUGUCUUGAUUAUGCUAUGUUGAAUGACCAUGCCUAUGAUGUCCAAAUCCUCUAAUAUUUGUUAGUGAUCAUGCUAUAUGUCCUGUUACCAUGAAUUUUGCCAAGAUUAUUUGAGUCAUAUUUUGAUUUGAUGUGCAUUUGAUUCUUUUCUGAAUGUCUCCAAUGUGAUCACCAUUGCAUGCCUUGCCAUGUUUUGCUCAAGAAAUGAAUAUUAUUAAUGAUUUGAUGUGGGCUUUUUGAGAUUGUCCUUGAUGAAUGAAGAUGAUUCAUGUUAAAUUUCAUGUUCUGUUUUGAAAUUUUUGAUCCAUCUUGACCCUAGGCUUGCCUAGUGGUUGGGCUUACAUGUGGUUUUGAUUUCAGGUUUAAGCUUCCAAAUCCAUAGUUGAUGAUGCUCCUCAUAUUGAGCAUGAUGUUAUGCUCUUGAUUACUAACAUUUGUGUGUUUUGUAGUGUUGAUGUUAACUCAUUGAGUUUGCCUUGUGGCUUGGCACAUCUGUGAAUAUUGUCUAUCUGUUUGUUAUGCCUGUUGACUGUUUGUCUGUACAGUUUGAACUGAUUGGUUUUAGAUUUUUCACAGGUACCUAAGUUGCUUAGAGUCAUUGAACUUGCUUGCAGCGUGGUUUGCUUACCACUGAGGAUAAUUCUUUGACUUCAUGUAGUCUGGAAGACCUGUCCUGUUAUGUGGGCAGCCACCUGUGUCUGAAGCCCUCCCUAAGAGGCAAGCUCUUCGUGGUGUUAAUUUUGUGCCAAGCACGGAAAAGACCUCUUAAGAGGCAUUGGCAGAUACAAGGGAUGUGCAAUCCAUCCCCUGCUAUCAGUUGUGUCAUUCCCUUUGCCUACACACCUGUGUUGAUGCAUUGUGGAUAAUAACCCAAGAUCAUGUUGUGUCAGUCAUCUGUGGAGAAGAGUUUCCUACAUUCUGAUGAACCCACACUUUCAUUGUCUGAAGCUCUCCCAGGCCAGGGAUAAGAGUGUGAGGUCUUACCCUCACUCCCAUUCAUCUGCUUCACCCAACUCUCAAUGUUAGGGUUCAGAAUCUAACCACACCCCAUUCCAGUUGGCUUGUGUUUCGGCGUUGAGGUUGAUUUACUCCUUGACUAAAGCCUAGCCUUGUAUAGAGCCCAAUUGUUUGCAUAUAUGUGUGUGUGCUUGCUGUGUGCUGUAUGUAUUUGCCUGUGCUGUUAGGAUAGCUUGCUUCCUGUGCAAGUUAGAUAGAAACAUUAACAUAGGGAUCGUAAUGCAUGACAACCUUCUCGAGGCUCCGAGUCGUAGUACUUCCCUAGUAGUUUGGUCUCCACUUUGUCUCUGGUUAAGGUUUAGAAGUUCUUUCCCUGUGUAGGGGAACUACGUCGCCCUGAUCCUCAUACCAGAUGAGGUACGUAGGCAGGAGAUGAGCUGAUCUCUCCGGGCGCCCUUUUUCUUUUUCAACCCUUUGUGUUGUGUUGGAGCCUGACAUAAGUCCAGCGAUUGGCAGUUGGUUUCCUGUGUCUGGUUUGCUUGUUGGAGUCUGACGCAAGUCCAGCGAUUGGUAAUCGGUUUCCAUGUUUGCCUGUUUGUGUGGAGUCUGACGUAAGUCCAGCGAUUGGCAGUCGGUUUCCUGUGUGGUUUUGUUUGGCGUGUGUUAGCCGAGCUACGAGUGCUCUGACUCUUCUCUGGUUAGAGAAGAUACGUAUGCAUAGGAUGCGACAUCCUAGCGAGCACGUUUCCCCUGUCCCGAACUACGCCGACUCUGAUGUCUGUGUAUGACAGGCUACGUAGGCCCAGGAUGCGAUAUCCUGCCGAGUCCCGUUCCUUUUGUCUUCCUGUGUUUCCUUCCAGCCUUGUGCAGUGUGUGAGCAGUUUUUAGCAACCUUUCUUCCUUUCUUUUGAGCGUGGAUCCCGUCGAGUACGACGGAUGCGUAGGGGUGCUAAUACCUUCCCUUCGCAUAACCGACUCCCGAUCCCAUCUCUCUCUGGUCGCGAGACCAUGUCCUUUCCAGGUUUACUUCGAGCGUUUCCUUUCCCUCCUUUGGGAUAAAUAACGCACGGUGGCGGCUCUGUUGUUUCGUUUUCCCGCCGGUUUUUCGCGUAAUGCGACAAUACCGUUCACAACUGUGGAGAUGCACAACAGUGAUCGUGUGAAGCUGCAGUUCGGUAUGCCCCAAAAUAUCCCAGACCCCCUAGCUAGCCUAGGAGAAUGGCAUUUGCGCAAAGUUAACUACCAAUGGAACUUCAAUCCAUGGCAAAGCUUCGCAAGAUCGGAGUGUCGCAAAUGGAAGCACCGUAAUGACCAUGUGUUAACUGACGCAGUCAUGCCAACUGAAGAAAAACCAAGUCGUACUUAUAUGGCUUGGUACAGAUCGGUUGGUUUUUAGUUCAUCGCCGAUGAUAUGUACUUGUACGACCCACGUCAGAUGACUUACACACCUGACACCUCAACAUCAAACCCCCAACAACAUUGUUAGACCGGAUACACACAACCCCCUGUCCGUCAAACGUUCCGUUCAACCAACACACAAACAUACAACCAAAACAUUUCAUACACCCAACCCCAAUACCAAGAGCAUACCCCAUACCACCACCAACAAAUUGACCAUCAACCUGAGACUCAACAUCGCUUCGCACCCACCCCAUCACCCUACCAAAGUCGCCUAAGCCAGAACAUCCAACGAUCAUUCAACAUCAACCGCCCCUCCUCCUAUCAUAGCCAAGAAGCUCAAACCUCACAAAACCAAAACAUCCAACAACCCUAUCUCUACCAAACACCCCAACAACCUUUCCAACCUUUCCUCGACGCAUCGUUCACACCUAUGUCUCCCUUCAACCGUCCUGGUCGCCCAUCAAUGAGUCAACCACAUCCCAACUUCUCUGGCAUGGGUCAUGAGCUCAGCUACGGCGAUACACCAUCGAUGCAUACUGAAGGCUGUGCCGACUUGUCUGACUACCUCAACAGACCUUCUCCUGUAGUUGGUAGUGACACUCCUGGCCCCUCAGAUGCUCAAACAUCGGUACAGAAUCGUCAACGUGGGUUAGGGCCACGGGUUAGGGUAGCUAGAGGAUGUGGGACCGGAGGUCAGUUAGGUGAUCUCGGUCAUCACCAUUAGGUUUCUUUGUGUAAACGGCAAAUUUUAUUAAUAUCAAGUGGUCCUAUAUCAAAUUUAUCUAUCACAUAUACCAUUUACCAAAAAAAUUGCAUUUUAGGAGGAGUCUCCAAUUGAAUUGGCGACUCCUCUUAAACCCUACACAGGGGCGCCAAUUGGAUUGGCUAGGGCGCCUGCCCUAGUCAAUCCAAUUGGCGCCUCCAUUCAAUUUUUAAGAGGAGUCUCCAAUUCAAUUGGCGACUCUUCCUAAAAGUGAGAUAGUUUGAGAAUUUCCUUGAAAAAGUGGAUUAUUUUCGUAAAAAAUUCAAAAAAUGACUUUUAAUUUUCCAUCCAUAAUAGAUGAUGAAGCAGAGACAAAAUAUUUUUUCUAAAAAAGACAACUAAAUGUAAACCUAUUUUUUUAAAAAUGAUCAAAUUUACAAGUGUUUAGUAAAAGUAUUAAAUGUAUUAAGUCUUUUUUUUUAUAAAAUCAACUUCAAUUUAUUAAAUGUUGUUAAUGUAUAAAAAUUAAUCUCUUAUUGUUUAGGCAACAUUUGACAUAUAUUACAUAUAUAAAUAAAUUCAAAAACACAUUAAUUAUAAAUUUUGUAUUUUUUAACUUUGAAAACUUUAAAAUAUACUAAUAAUUAUUUCCUCCAUCUCAAAAUAAAUAUUAUAUUUUUAAAAAUUCAUUAUUUUUAAAUAAGUACUGUUUUUAAUUUUUAAUAUAAUUUUAAGUUUUAUCUUUCAAUUUUAUUUUUUAUAUAAAGUAUUAUGUACACCACUCUCAUUCUUUAUUCUUUCAUUUUAUAUUUGUGAUAAUUAAAAUAUAACACUAAUUAAUAAGAAUAUUUUAAUAAAAUUAAAAUUCUUUUUUCAUUUAUUAUAUAUAUUUUUAAUAUGUGUGGUAGGAGUGUUCGUAGUGCAGAUUGAAUCAAUUUUAAAAGAAGAUUCUAUUCAAUCCAAAAAUAAAUCUACUUGCAGUUAAGUUCGAUUUUGAAUAAUUAAUUAAAAAAAUUCAAUCUGAUUCGAUUAAAUUUUAUAUAGUUUAAUUUGAAUCAAUUUUUUGAAUAUUAAAAGUAUAAAAUAUAAUUUUUAUUAUGAUUAUAAAAAUGUUAACAAAUAAUAAAUUUAAUAUAAUAUAUAUUAAAUAUUAAUAUUAUCUAUAACUAUAUAUAAAGGGGAUAGGUGAUUUUGGUAUGGCUUUUUUUUUUCUUCCAAUUUUAUCCUUUAUCAAUUGUUACAAUUACUAUCAAUUAUUAAAUUAAAAAAAAAUACAAAAAAAAACUCAUUUAUUAAAUAUAUAACCUCCAUGAACACAUCAAAUAACUUCCUCCAACACAUCAACUAUACUAAAUAACUUCCUCCAACACCACUAUAUAUGAUAACUGCAUAUUUCAAAAAUAAAAACAUUUUUUUCUUUCUCUCUCCACGCCAAAAGUAGGAGAAAAAUUCAUAAUCAUACCAACCCCACAUUUGCCAUCCUUCCUCUUUUACUAUAUAUCUCUCUCCCAUAACCAAAUCAUUUUCUCAAAUUCAUUUUGAAAUAAGAGGUACGAGGCGUGUUUGAAAUGAUACGAAAAUUGUUCAUUGAUUAACUUUUUGAUAUAUGGCGAGAUUAUGUGGUUUUAGGUUUUGAUUUCUAUUACUCUUUUUCUGUGUUUAUCACUUACUUAUUUGGCCUAAAACGGAUUGCGAGUGUCUGUUUGAAUGGGAUGGAUUGAGUAUGGGUGUAUAUUAAGAUGUGUGAGGUUAGAGAUAGUUUCUUAUUGUCUAAGGUGAAACACGUGAUGCUAUUUCUAAAUAUGAAGGAUAGUCAUCAAAUCAACUUCCAUUGUUGAAUUUUGACUUAAUAAUGGUAAUUUGAAAGACGCAGAAAUCAACUUGAAUAUCAUGUACCGCUUUUAUAAGGAUGAAGUUAUACUAGGAUAUUUGUUGCAAAAAAAUGUCAUGGAUUGUGUAAAAUGUGAUAUCUUUUGUCAUAAUCUUGAUCUGAUUAUAAUUAUAAGAGAUUCAUUGUAGCGUCUAGUUCUUAUGUCCUUAACUGACUUGCUCAAUAUUUAUCUGUUGUAGGAGAUGUUUUGAAAGUGAAAGUAAACAAAUUAACAUCAAUAAAGACCCAUCUCCCAUACUCAUAUUAUUCACUUCCUUAUCCUGCACCCAAAAAAAUACAAGAUAGGCAGAAAAUCUUGGGGAAGUGCUUCGCGUUGACCCAUUGAAAAAUUCCACUCUAUUGGUCAGUUUCACAUGUUAAUUCUUGAAUCUUUAUCCAAUUUAUAAAAAGGAAUUCUUAAUGAAAUAUAUAGCUUUGGAACAUUAACCUCGAAAUUGGUUAGGCCACCAUGUUUGAAGGGUAGUUAGUUAAUGGAAAUCACUCUUUAAUAAUUUAAUUAAUUAUAUUUAAUUGAUUGAGUGGAUUGGCAUGUCCACAGCUUCUAGAAUCAUUUGGUUGUUAUAUUUUAUGAAAAAUGCGAAAGAAACAAGAGAUCAAAUGACUGCCACACAUAUUUUCUUUAAAAAAAAACAUAAUAAUAGCAAAAAAAUGUCAAACCUAUAACAACAUACAGAAUCGCCUCCUCUUAAAUUGAAUAUAAGCCCAAAAUUUAUGGUAAUAUAAUAGUCAUAAGAGAGAAGCUUACCGAUAAGAAGAUUUCCUGCUGCAUCUAUUGGUUGCUGUCAUUGAAACUGAUAAGUUAUGUUCAUUGUCGGAUGGUUCCAAACCAGAAAUAGAUGGGAUGGUCAACAUAACCUGCCUCCAUCAAGCCAUGGUCAAUUGAAGAGAAUUUGAAGUUCUGAAGUGCGAGUAGGUGACCCUUCACGCCAAACAGAAUAAAUAAAAUAAUACAGAAAACAAUCAGACGACAAAAUAAAUUGAUCAGAUCAAAAACUUUUAUUCAUUUAAAGGGUUUAGUUUUACUCAUGAUACGACAAUAUUAUAUUUGCAUGACCAUGAACUUAGGAUCAAUAAUCCAAACAUUUUUGUUUCGGCACCGACAUGUUUUAGAUGUGGCUAGAAUGCCUAGCAGGAUUUCAGAAUCCAAAAGUCAAAGCCAACUAAUAUCCUGAAAGUCAUAUGACAUAACAAAACUCAAAAUACAAAAAUCAAGUAAGACUAUGACUUGAAAUUUAAAACCAUCCCACCUUUAAUUUUAAUUUUGGAGAGAAGCAAUUUAGAAAAAUGAAAGUUUAGAGGGAAAUUGAGAUUUGAAUGUGGAAGAUUUUUCAACAGAGUACAGAGUAAACAAAUUCCACAAGUGCGCUUUUAUGAUCAUCAGCGAAUUGCAGAGUGUUAAAUAAUGAACGCAACUCCAAAACAAUGCCCACACAAUUCUUUGCAUUGAAUCUACGAGAUCCACAAGCAAGAAAGUAUCUGUUAUAGAGAGAUUCAGAGCAUAUUGUUGGAACAAGCGGAUAUGGAAAGGCAUCGUAGGCCGGAUCAACAAGAAAAGUUAUCGGAGAAUCUAUACGGUAUCACCUCAGAGGGAGAUAAGUUUACUUGCGACUGUUGUUAUCGCAUGUCACAGGUUCAACCAGUCGAGUAUCUCUUACAAAUAAUGGCAUGACUUUUAGUACAUCAAAAAUCAGCGAGAAGGGAUUUCUAGAGACCUGAUCAUAGUAUUCGUGAGUGUUUUGUUGAGGCUACGAGUCUCCGAAUGCCAUAUGCUUUACGAAGGUUAUUCGUGACCAUUUUAAUAUUUUGUGAACCUACUGAUGUUAGGCCCUUGGAAUGAGUUUUUUUACACAUUAUGGUAGAGGAUUAUCAAACAGCUAACAAUGUGUGUGGAAUCAAACUUAACUAAUAUGUUUUGUAAGGUCUUGAUAUAACUCUUAAACCUGCACGUAAAAGAUGAUGAUUAUGAUCUCCCAUCUUUACCCCUAAUACAAUAGACAGAGGUGCGUCCAAGUAUCAUACAAGAGGGUUAUGCGAUCGAUAUCCCCAAUGAAGAUAUUGAAUAUAUUGCUAUGUUAAAUAAUGAUCAAAUGAUUGCAUUUCAACACCAUUAUGAUGUAAUUGUUCAAAAAACACAGGGAGUAUUUUGUGUGAUGGUCCAGGAGGAACAGGGAAAACAUUCCUUUAUAGAACAUUAAUGGCAAGUUAAGAAGUAGAGGAGAAAUUGUCUUAGCAACUGCAUCAUCUGCGUAUAGCUGCAACAUGUUCCCGAUAGUAGGACUACACACUCCGAUUAAGAACCUAUUGAUAUUCAACCGAGUUCCAUUUGUGGUAUUGAAAAGCAAAAGAUCUUGCAAAUCUCAUUAGAGUUGCUGCCGCAAUUAUUUGGGAUGAAGCACCAAUGACAACAAAAAUUGUUGGAAGCCUUAGAUCGAUCAUUACAAGACAUUUGUUAGCAACAGGCUCCAUUUGGUGGAAAAAGUUCUGAUCAUGGGGGGGGGGGGGAUUUUUCGUCAAGUCCUUCCUGUUGUUAAGAAAAGGGACUAAGCCAAAAAUGAUUUCAGCUGUAUUGUUCAGUCAUUUAUGGAAUCAUACCAAGAUUUUGCAUUUGCGUCAAAAUUAUUGCGAUCAAUUGCAUGAUCAAGAGUUUGCAGCAGAAUUUCUUAUUCGCAGUUGGUGAUUUGUGCUCGAAACCUGACCAAACCACAGUGACAUGGGAGGUUACUUACAGUAUUUGCAAUCCCAUGGGAAGGUGAACAUUCCAUACAAGUACUUACGCCAACAUAUUUUUCCUGAUCUAGAAUUGCAUUGUGUGGGAUGCGCCCAUAUAUGUUACAAAGAGCUAUUUUGACCACCAACAAAUGAUGAUGUCCAGAAAUUGAAUGAUAUGAUUAUCGACAUCAGUUUUCCAGGAGAAGGACAUAAUUGUUUAUACGUUUGACGAGGUUGAAGGGAGAUAAUCAUGAUUUAUACCAGCAAGAAUCUUAAACUCAAUUGCACAAGGUAGUUUGCCACCUAUAUCUAAAAUAAAAAAGAUGCACCAUUUGAUGUUGUUACGAAAUCUAAUCCUAGAUAUGGAUUGUUAAUCGGACCCGUAUUAUGUCGUGGUUUAUUUAUGAUAUGUUGAUGUGGAAUUCCUGACAGGAAGCAACGCCAGAAAACGUGUUUUUGUUGCCUAGAAUUAAAAUCAAACAUCGCAAGUGAGGACUGCUUUUGUCCUUAGUAGAAAAGAGUUCCUGUGCGACUAAGUUUUGGCAAUUACAAUAAUAAAUCACAAGAACAAACCAUUCCAAAUGUUGGAAUAUAUCUUCACGACAUGCUGUUUUAGUCAAUAGGCAGUUAUAUUGUGGCCUUUAUCCCAGGGCGUGUUUCACAGGACUACAAACAAGCAGUUUUAACCAGGAGGAAGGAAAAUUGAAAGGAGAACGAUGCGUGACUACACAAAAAAACUGUUAGUCUUACAAACAAAUUCUUUUAUCGCACCGCAGGGCUAUUUAUUAAGUUGACUUGAAAAAAUUGCCUCACGCGUGAUUCCCAUUAUUGGCUUACACGACAUACAAGCUUAUAUUGUAUUAUCUAUAUACAUAAGAUAGAUAAAACUAAUAUUAAUUUUCUUUUUGCUUAAUAUACAUCCAACCUAGACACGAUUGCAAAUCUUCCAAUUAGUUAAGGGAGGUGAGACGAAAAGAAUGUUUGAAACCUUGCUUCGACAUGAAAGUAAGUUUAUACUUAAUCAUAUUUUUAUGCGUUUAUGUCUAGAUAUAAAUUGGGGUGGGGUGAUAUUAUCUCACUUUCUUAUCAAAUUUAAAUUUUAGAUAUCAGACUUUGAAGAUAAAUGGAACACGUGAAGGAUGAACAAAGUAUUCAUCCAUCGGCAAACUCGACAAAGUAGGUGUUUUAUCUUUUCCGUAAUACGUAUGGGAAAAAAUUCUUGCAACUUUCAUCACUCUUUCACUAACAUUUUAUCACCUCAUUGAAACAGUGUCAACCGUUUGAAAAUUUACUCCAUCGGUUGGAAGCUCCACGGGUAUAACAGAUAAAAACACAACUUUGGAAAUGGGUGAAAAGAGAAAUAAUAUCUCAAAGGAUGGAGAGGUUUUUAUUUAAUUCAUUUAAGAUAUAUUUACUCUAGAUUAUUUUUGAAUGCAUGAAUUUAACUGCAUUUUGUGGUUAUAUAUAAAUAAACCAUUAUAUUUUACUAAGUCCAUUGUUUUCUUUAUUUACCAGAAAAUUCAGGUAAUUCAGAAACAAGUCAAUAAUUGUUGUUCUUACGAAAUCUAAGCUAAAACAAAGUAAUCUCCAAUUCUCCAGGUAUUAUUUUGAGUCGCAAUAAACCAUAUUAUAUUCAAACGAGUCAAGUGUUUUGAAGUAUUUCUUUUAUAAUAUGACAUUUCACAUUAUUUGUAGUUUUUUAAAUCUCAAGAGCGCAUUGAUAAAGGGAUGUACGAAGAAUUGAUUCGAAUCUUUAUAAGGUAAGCAAAAGCUAUAUUACACUACUUACUAUUAUUUUUACUAUCUUUUUCAUUAAAAAAAGUCUAAUUUAAGAGUCUUACAUUUUUUCUUUACUACGAAAAAAAAUUGCAGAAAAAAAUAAAAUACUUCGAAUAGAGAUUUCAUGUUCGGCAUUCCUCUUAAAGAACGUCAUUGAUUACACAGUAUCAAUAUUACUUUGCAUGUUUCGAUAUAAUUUUGAAUAUCUUUAUUUACGGUUUUCAAAAUAUAUUAAUAUUAUUUUUAAUGUGACCUACAGUAAAAACCUCAUAAAAAGAAACAAAUAUUUAUUUUCCUCUACGCUGUGCGCAUUAAAAAAAGCGGACAGACGGGCACGGGAGUGCCCGUCUGAACGCUAGUAAAAUAAGAAUGUCGAUAAUUGUUGAAACAAAAAAAUAAUAAAAUUAAAUAGAUUAAACAAAAAAUGUCAUUAUCAUAUUAAUAAAAAAUAUAUACUUGUAGUUUGAUUCAAUUUAAAUCGAUUUUAAAAAAUUAAUUUAAAACAUGAUUUAAAUUAAACGGUUUUUAUAAAUGAUAUUCGAUUUUUUUAUUAUUUUCGAUUCUUUUAGAUCGAUUUACUGUUUGUAUUUGAAUUUUCAACACUUCAGCUUCAAUGCAGAGUCGUAAAACUUUUGACAUGUUUAUAUGGCAAAAUCCAUUAUUUUUAGGAGUGCUUUUGUCUAAAAAUAUUAUAUUAGUGACAAAAACGAAACCGUCACUCUCAUGUGCAUAUGGCCGAAACCGCCUGCCUACUCUGACUUCCUCACUGAUUUUAUUGACAAAAAAGUCCCUCUCGGAUUCACAAAAUAACAAAUAUUUCAAAUAUAUAUAUAUAUAUAUAUAUAUAUAUUAUAUAUUAUAUAUAUAUAUAUAUAUAUAUAUAUAUAUAUAUAUAUAUUAUCAGUGUAAUAGUCUAUUCAUCAUCAUCCUCUAUUUAUAUUAUUAUUAAUUUUUUAAAAUUAAAGUCAAAUUUAUUUCAAUAUUCAACAUUAGAGUAAAAAACUCUUUACACAAUCAGUGUAUUAUAUAUAUAUAAUAUAUAUAUAUAUAUUAUAUAUAAUAUAUAUAUAUAUAUAUAUAUUAUAUAUAUAUAUAUAUAUAUAUUAUAUUAUAUAUAUAUAUAUAUAAUGGGAUACAAAAGUUUACCUAUAAUAUAUUUUAGGUUAAUAAUUUCAUUUCUAAAAUUCAUUUUGUUAUGAUCGGGGAAUGAGCUGCUUUGUGAGAGAAUAGAGAAUAGAAAAGAUAAUGAGUACAAGUACUAGUUCUCUCUUAUCAACUUAUUUAAUAAAUAUAAUAUUUAUUUUUAUUUUUUAUUUGUACUAGUAUUUGAUAGGACGGAUAUUUGUAGAUUUUGAAAUGAUAUUUAUGAAUAUUCAUAUAUAUUAUUAUUUAAUAAUUUUAAAAAUAUAUUUAUAUUUUUUUAUUUUUUUUAAAUAGUUUCAAUUUUUUACACAAAAAUAAUAAUAAAAAUAAAUCACAUUCAUUUUAUUUCUUUUUUUAUCAGAUAAUUAUCUUAAAUUCAACAAAUAAUAAUGGUUCAUAUUUAAUAAAAAAUAAUAAUAAAUAAGUAUAACAGUUUAUAUAUUAACAUUUAUAAUAUUUAUAUUAGAUAUAUUAGUAUUUAAAUAAUUUUAUUAAUUAUAAUAAAUAUGACAUUCACAAAUGCAGAUACCAUCAAAUUCAUAUCCUUAAUGGUUAAAAAAAAUGUAUAACUAAAUAUCUGUUAUUAUACCAUAAAUUAUCUAACUUGUACAUGUAACAAGUAUCUGCGUGUAACUUGUGCAUGUAACAAGUUUUAUCUGCGUGUAACUGCAAAUACACCUUUUUCCAUUCUUAAAAUCAAAAUACAUAUAAAAAUACAACUUCUAUACAAUUUUUAUUUCUAUUAUCUCAUUUUAUAGUAUUUCAUAUUUUUAAAUUUAAAGUAAUAUGUCAUUUUACGUUGUAACAUUAACAAAGAGAUUUAUCAUUAAUUUUAAACGAUUAAAUGAGAACAUAACUAAACUUAUUUAGAUUAGAAUAAAAGAAUAAUUUCAUAAAAAGCUAAAUGAAAUGUUAAAAACUUUAAUUAAACUAAAGAUUUAUAUUAUAAUAGUUUUAAAAAAUUUUAAGCCGGUGGCGUACACACACAAAAAAACUAGGCUCCUGUUUUGUAAGAAGGCAUAAUUUAAUUAAAUAUAUAAUAAUAUUAUUAUUUAAAAAUUAAAUAUUAAUAAAAAGAUUAAUUACUAUAGACUGUCAGUGUAAAAAGUUUUAUAGUAUCGAUUUAUUACCAUCAUCCGUUUGUAUUACUUUAUAAAUUUUUAAAUAAAAGUCAAACUUACGUCUAUGAUUAACUGACGGUAAUAUUUAAUUAAAAAUUUGAUAAACUAUAUUCUUUUUACAAAAAUCUAACAUCAUCUUUUAGGGCAUCUUUAGUAUACUAAACAUAAUUCUUUUUUUUUUAAUCAGAGACUAUGCAUUCUAUUUUUCUUUUAAAUAGGUUAAACUUUUUUUUAAUUCCUAUUUAUAUAUUUCUUUCAGUGAAACAAGUUAGUCAAUUCCUACUUAUAAAUUCCUUUCAUUAGAAUACACGUUAGUAACUUAUAAUAUAACCUGAUUUAAUUAAAAAAUAUUUAGUAUUAAUAAUAUAUUCAUUAUAACUAAAAAUAUUAUAAUAAUUUUGUUCAAUUAUACAUGAAACUAAAAAAUUAGUUAAGUUAAUUAAUUUUCUUAACUAAUAUAAAAAUGAUUAUAUUUGAUUAUAACUGUAAACAAAGAGAAUAAUUAAGUAUUACGACCGCAAGAGAAAUUCCACUUUAAGCAACUAAUGUGGCAGGUGAGUGAGAUGGAAAUUAAAUUCAAAGAAAAUAAUGCGGCUGCUGAGACAUAAUUCUGUCUUGAUUAAUUAUGUCUAAUAGAAUAUGCAUUGUGACUUUGAUCAUGGCACAAACUUAUCAACAAAACUAUUCAUCUAUUCGUGACUAGUAAACAAGACUAUUCUACUCACACGUUAUUCUAAGACAUUAUUCUGCUUUGAUUAAUAUCAUUACCUUUGAAAAUGCGACUCUUUUUGACUUAAAUGGCACAAAAAUUUGAAAUUAAAGUCCUAAAAUACCACAGUCUAAAAUUUAAUUUUCAAUCUAUCAUCUUUCUUUGUCUUCAUUAGUAGAAAAAUAAUUUAAGAAUUAUUUAUAUCAUAUCUAUUUUUUUAAAAGAUAUCAAAAUUAUAUAUAAUGUAAUUUGUAAUUAUAAUAAAGAUUUUAAUUUUAGUAUUAAUCUUGAUACCAAUUUUUUAAAAUAUAAGUGUUAAUCUAUCUUACUUUCAAAACAAAUCAUUUCUUUAAUAUAAGAUACUUGAUUUUUAAAGAAAAAAAAAAAAAACAGAUUUAAAAUUUAAUAAUGAUAUUCUUUUUAUUUCAACCCAUCAUCAUACACUAUCCAGUACUUACUAUUACUAAAUACAGUCAACAUUGACGUGAAUAGUGCGUGCGUGAACAAUGAUUGUCAACCGUAUACAUGAAUAAUUAAUUAACAAUGAUUUUUAAUAAUAAAAUAAAAUUGAUCAAUAAAAUAUAAAAAAUUGUUAAUGAAGAGAUAAAGUUAGUUAAUAAACAUUCAAAUAUUAAAAAUAAUUUUUAAAAUUAAAUAUAUUUUUGUCCCUAUAAAUAAUCUAACAUUCAAUUUUAUCAUUAUAAAAAUUUUCUCAAAAAUAAUCCUCUUAAAGUUUUAUAUCCACAAUUUUAAUGUCUCUCGCUUAUUUACUUUAAAGAAGCAGGACUUAACAUGCCACGUGUACCCACAUAACUUAAAAUCAACUUUAAAAAAACUAAUUAGGUUGUCUGGUUACAAACCUUCUCUAAAUACCUAAAUUUUAUCUGACAUUUUCAUCACACUGCAUUUUUCUAUUUAUUUUUCCUAUUCAUGCAAAUUGAGUUAUUAAAUUGUUUGUGUGUGUCGCGUGCGCUGUGCAUGGAUGUGCGUGUGUGUGUGUGUGUGCGUGUGUGUGUGUAUGUGUUGUGUGUGUGUGCGCGCGAGCGUGCGCGUGGUGUGUAUGUCUGUGUGUCGGUUAGACAAUGUGAUGAAUGUUUGUAGCUCGACAUUGUUGUCACCAAACUCACAGAUUAAGGAGUGAAACAUCAUCAACACAGUUUCAAGCUUGUCCUUUAUAGAGUUGGUGCACAGAUGAUAAAGAUGAACGAUAAAGAUGAGAGCAGGAGAGAGAGAGAGAGAGAGGAGAGAGAGAGAGAGAGAGAGAGAAUAAUAAACAAACUUCUACUACUCUUUGAAUGAUUACAAAAUGGUUGCACAGAAAAAAGCACACACACAAUGCAAAAGGAAUAAAAGUAUAAUUUGUUCGCACCACUCACUUGUUUAAAUACAAAUGGGACUUUAGGAAAUACUAAAAUACCAUUUAACAAACUUUAUCAACAAGUUUCUACAAAAUAUGAUAAUUAUAACAUCAUCCCUUAAUUCAUAUUGAGCUUAACCAAAACUAACAAACCACUUCCACCCUCAAGCGGAGAAACUAAUCACAUCUUGGCCGCCUUCGUCAGAAUAUCUUCCAAUUGCUUCUAGGUGAUACAGUGCACAACUUCUAGCACUCCAUUCUGAACCUGGUUUCUUAGAAAGUGAUACUUAGUCUCAAUAUGCUUGCUUUUCCAUGCAACACUGGGUUUCUUGGCGAGAUUGAUUGCAGAUUUGUUAUCAAUCUUCAGCUUCAGAGGCCUGUUUACCUUGAUCUUCAGAUCCUUUAGUAAAUUCAGAAGCCACCUGCAUAUUAUUCUGCUUCACAGGUUGACAAAACAACAACUGGUUUCUUCUUGAACACCAAGAAAUAGGACUUCCUAGAAAUUUAAACAAGUAUCCAAAAGUACUUCUUCGUCAACUAUGUUUCCACACCAAUCAGAAUCGAGUAACUCAGAAGUUCUGAGCCAGUUUAGCACCAGGAAGGAAACACAACUCCAUACUUCAGAGUUCCCUUUAUAUACCUCAGAAUUCUGACAGCAACUUGGUAAUGAGACCACUUCGAUUACUGAUAAACCUACUCAUCAUUCCAACUGCAUAUCAAAUAUCAGGUCUGGUAUGCACAAAUACCUCAGAGACCCUACCAACUGCUUGACGUUGUCGCAUCUACAUCAUAACCAUCCGGAAUCAGAAUCCAAUUUCUGACUUGUAUCAGCAGGUGUUGAAGGUAUAGAAAAACAAGAAAGGGUUUUGAAUUGUUUGGAAAAUAAAACUUUUUUAAGAACUUAGACACACCGCAGAAUAAAAAGUUUGACACAAAUUUUAUACUGUUUGCUUGAAAUUCAAAGCUACCCCGUCCACCCGGCCAAGUGAUUUCGCCUUCAAAAAGUCGUUAAUCCACUAAUCUUGAAAGAUUAAACAAACAACCGUCUAAGAGAAUUAAUCCUUAGCCCUCUCAAGUAUUCAGACUUCACAGAGUCACUUGAGGAAAAUAUCUCAGUAGUAAAAUAUUGGUAAUGCACAGUGCUUCUAACAAUAAGCAAAAUAUUACAAAAAUUAAUAACCAGAGUUUUUCACAUAUGAGCAGCAGCUCGUGAGAGAGUGAAAGAAGAUGAUUGAGAAUUUGUAUUCUUGUGUGCGUCUCAGGUUGUUUCUUGUGAUCCGUUUUUAUCUCUUUUUGUAUGAGUUUGAGAGGACCGUUGGGUGAUGACAAAUCUUGGUCAUUGAAGAAUGAUUAAUGUCAUUACCCCCUUGUUUCUUUCCAAAACAGUUUGGGUGGUCAUAACUUCCUUCUAGAAAUAGUUUCUUUCUAAAUGCAGAUUUUCUUCACGUUACGCUUUCUGAGUCAGCGAAUCCUGUAUCAGAGUCUUGUUUAGCAAUGUUCGUCUUCAGAGGGUACUUCUAUCUGAUUGAAUCAGAGUUUUCUUUAAUCUUGACUUCUUUCAGAUCGUGCGUCUUCAGAGUCUGGAUUCAUUCUUCUCUUAUCAGAGUUUCUAACUUCUUUUGUUUUGCUAGUUGCCUGUGUUUGAUCAGAGUCAGAACCUUCUGGUCACAUAUCCUCUGAGUAGCGUCUAAUGUUGGAUUCUAUAUCUGAUGAUUUAAUCUAUUUGAUUGUUUGAUCAGAGUCCUUCACACUUAGGAAAAAUUUCGUUAGGGUACCAUUUUGUUUCAUCCUUUGUAUCAUCCAAAAUCUUAGAGAUACAUUGUUGAACCAACUUUGUUCUUACAAGUGUGACAACAACUUUACAAUCAGUGCUCAAACCUCUUUAGAAGCUCAAGUUCAUAUUUUAGCUGAUGUAAGAUUAUACCUUUCUCAGAGUACAUAAUCUUCAUCCAUAAAAUAGACCAUAUUUCCUAGAUCAGUUAUCUCAAACUCCAUUCAUCAGCUCCUUCUUGAACUUAGCUAUCUCAUGUUCACAACUUCCUGUUAGCAUAUGUCAUCAACAUACAGAUACAUCCUAAUCUAUUGCCUUUAGAAGUAUUUGAACAUAGACACCAUACUUCAUCUCACGUUUCUGAAAUCCUUGCUUCUUGAAAAAUGAAUCAAUUUUCAGAUUCCAAGCUCUAGGGGCUUGCUUCAGUCCAUAAAACGCUUUGUGUAAUAUGUACAUCAUCCCUUCCUCGAUUCUUUUUCUCAAAUCUAGGAGGUUAUGACACAUAAACCUCUUCAUCUAAUGGACCGUUAAUAAAUGCAUAUUUCACGUCUACAUCGAUCAGAGGCCAUUCCUGUUAGCAGUUAUCGUAAUCAUCAACUGGUUGUUCAUAUCUUGCUACAAUUGCGCAAACACUUCAAAGUAAUCUAACCCAUGUUUCUCUAGAAAACCUCUUACAACUAACCUUGCUUGUGUUUUCCCCAAUUGAUCCAUCUGGCUUUAGCAUCACUUAUAAACACAUCUCAAUGUGAUGGCUUCUGUUUCUUUUAGAAGUUUUGUCAGCUUCCAAGUUUUGUUUCUCGCUAUGGCAUCAAGUUUUUAUUUCAUGGCCUUCAGCCAAACUUUCUGCUUGAGAGCUCUUUCCGUAUCACAGGUUAGAAUCUACUAACAUGGCACACUGGAUAAUUCCCUUCAGAAUCUACUUCAAUAUCUUGAAGCAAUGUCAAACUCUCGUAAACCUUCUCGGAAUGUUUCUGAUUCUUUGUGUCCUUUGAAAUUGUUCAGAACCUUCUAAUUCUAAAACAAUAUUAGAUGCUGGAACUCUAGAAGUACCGACUUCAGAAGCAUGACCACUUUCUGAAUCUGGACUACCACCAGAAUCAGAAUCACCAUCAGAAUCUGGAUUAGAAUCAGAUUCUUCUCUCAAAUCAAUCUCACCUUCUGAUUCUGACUCACUCUCAGAAUCAUUUUCAGACUCUGACUCAUCUUCAUAUCAUAAUCGAUCUGUUUAGAAGUUAACUCUACAUCGAAGUUGGAUUAACACUUGCUCCAAUCCCAUACUUCUGACUCUUCACAAUAACAUCCUCUGGUGACUUCAACUUUAUUAGUGAAUGAACAUAAACUUAUAAGCACAUGUACUGUGAUACCCCACCAGUAACAUCACUUGCUUUAUCAUCCAACUUCUUUCUAGUAGCAUCGGGAACAUGUUAUUAACAAACAGAACUAAAUACUCUAAAGACUCACACUUUGCUUAUUCUCUAUCCAUCUCUCAAAGGAACAUUCCUUUAGCUUCUUGUUGGACACCUAUUGAGAACAUAUGCUGCAGUCGCACAACUUCUCCCCACAAAGUGUUAGGAAGCUUCUUCUCCUUCAGCAUGCUCCAUGUUAUAUCAAGCAAAGGUUCGGUUUCUCCUUUCAGUAAGACCAUUGUGUUGAGGAGUAUAUGGAGAAUUCACUUCAUGCUCAAUCCAUUCUCCUCAUAGAACUUCUGAACUCUAAUAGAGUUAUACUCAUCUCCACUAUCAGUUCUGAGAAUCUUUAGAGUAUGACCACUUGCUUUCUCAACCUUGAUUCUAAAUUUCUUAAAUUCAGCAAAUACUCGCUGUUUGAACUUUAUAAGGGAUACCCAUGUCAUCCUUGGUGAACUCAUCCAAAAAUGAAACAAAGUAUUUAUUCCCUCAUAGUGAAAUUUUUUGGAAAUGGUCAACACAACAUCAGAAUGCACUACUCCCAAAGCAAUGCUUUGCUCUUUGAGCCACUACUGAUGAAAUGGCAGUCUUGGUUGCUUCCUUUCAUCACACAUUGGAUGAUUUUUCUAGUUUCUUAAUUGAAGGAAUUCCACGUACCAAUUUUUUGAAUUCAGACUGCCUUAGCUUCUGAAGUUCAAAUGACCAAAUCUUUUAUGCCCACAACUCACUUCCUUCACAACACUUGUUGCACGUACAGUGACAUUCAAAGUCUGAUCUCUCUCUUUUUNAUAUAUAUAUAUAUAUAUAUAUAUAUAUAUAUAUAUAUAUAUAUAUAAUGGGAUACAAAAGUUUACCUAUAAUAUAUUUUAGGUUAAUAAUUUCAUUUCUAAAAUUCAUUUUGUUAUGAUCGGGGAAUGAGCUGCUUUGUGAGAGAAUAGAGAAUAGAAAAGAUAAUGAGUACAAGUACUAGUUCUCUCUUAUCCAACUUAUUUAAUAAAUAUAAUAUUUAUUUUUAUUUUUUAUUUGUACUAGUAUUUGAUAGGACGGAUAUUUGUAGAUUUUGAAAUGAUAUUUAUGAAUAUUCAUAUAUAUUAUUAUUUAAUAAUUUUAAAAAUAUAUUUAUAUUUUUUUAUUUUUUUUAAAUAGUUUCAAUUUUUUACACAAAAAUAAUAAUAAAAAUAAAUCACAUUCAUUUUAUUUCUUUUUUUAUCAGAUAAUUAUCUUAAAUUCAACAAAAUAAUAAUGGUUUCAUAUUUAAUAAAAAAAUAAUAAUAACAGUUUUAUAUUUAACAUUAUAAUAAUUUUAUAUUAGAUAUAUUAGUAUUUAAAUAAUUUUAUUAAUUAUUAAUAAAUAUGAACAUUCACAAAUGCAGAUACCAUCAAAUUCAUAUCCUUAAUGGUAAAAAAAAUGUAUAACUAAAUAUCUGUUAUUAUACCAUAAAUUAUCUAACUUGUACAUGUAACAAGUUUUAUCUGCGUGUAACUUGUGCAUGUAACAAGUUUUAUCUGCGUGUAACUGCAAAUACACCUUUUUCCAUUCUUAAAACAAAAUACAUAUAAAAUACAACUUCUAUACAAUUUUUAUUUUCUAUUAUCUCAUUUAUAGUAUUUCAUAUUUUAAAUUUAAAGUAAUAUGUCAUUUUUACGUGUAACAUUAACAAAGAGAUUUAUCAUUAAUUUUAAACGAUAAAAUGAGAACAUAACUAAACUUAUUUAGAUUUAGAAUAAAAGAAUAAUUUCAUAAAAAGCUAAAUGAAAUGUUAAAAACUUUAAUUAAACUAAAGAUUUAUAUUAUAAUAGUUUAAAAAAUUUUAAGCCGGUGGCGUACACACACAAAAAAAACUAGGCUCCUGUUUUGUAAGAAGGCAAUAAUUUAAUUAAUAUAUUAAUAAUAUUUUAUUUAAAAAAUUAAAUAUUAUAAAUAAAGAUUAAUUACUAUAGACUGUCAGUGUAAAAAGUUUUAUAGUAUCGAUUUAUUACCAUCAUCCGUUUGUAUUACUUUAUAAAUUUUUAAAAUAAAAGUCAAACUUACGUCUAUGAUUAACUGACGGUAAUAUUUAAUUAAAAAUUUGAUAAACUAUAUUCUUUUUACAAAAAUCUAACAUCAUCUUUUAGGGGCAUCUUUAGUAUACUAAACAUAAUUCUUUUUUUUUUAAUCAGAGACUAUGCAUUCUAUUUUUCUUUUAAAUAGGUUAAACUUUUUUUUAAUUCCUAUUUAUAUAUUUCUUUCAGUAGAACACAAGUUAGUCAAUUCCUACUUAUAAAUUCCUUUCAUUAGAAUACACGUUAGUAACUUAUAAUAUAACCUUGAUUUAAUUAAAAAAUAUUUAGUAUUAAUAAUAUAUUCAUUAUAACUAAAAAUAUUAUAAUAAUUUUGUUUCAAUUAUACAUGAAACUAAAAAAAUUAGUUAAGUUUAAUUAAUUUUCUUAACUAAUAUAAAAAUGAUUAUAUUUGAUUAUAACUGUAAACAAAGAGAAUAAUUAAGUAUUACGACCGCAAGAGAAAUUUCCACUUUAAGCAACUAAUGUGGCAGGUGAGUGAGAUGGAAAUUAAAUUCAAAGAAAAUAAUGCGGCUGCUGAGACAUAAUUCUGUCUUGAUUAAUUAUGUCUAAUAGAAUAUGCAUUGGUGACUUUGAUCAUGGCACAAACUUAUCAACAAAACUAUUCAUCUAUCGUGACUAGUAAACAAGACUAUUCUACUCACACGUUAUUCUAAGACAUUAUUCUGCUUUGAUUAAUAUCAUUACCUUUGAAAAUGCGACUCUUUUUUGACUUAAAUGGCACAAAAUUUGAAAUUAAAGUCCUAAAAUACCACAGUCUAAAAUUUAAUUUUCAAUCUAUCAUCUUUCUUUGUCUUCAUUAGUAGAAAAAUAAUUUAAGAAUUAUUUAUAUCAUAUCUAUUUUUUUAAAAGAUAUCAAAAUUAUAUAUAAUGGUAAUUUUGUAAUUAUAAUAAAGAUUUUAAUUUUAGUAUUAAUCAUUGAUACCAAUUUUUUAAAAUAUAAGUGUUAAUCUAUCUUACUUUCAAAACAAAUCAAUUUCUUUAAUAUAAGAUACUUGAUUUUAAAGAAAAAAAAAAAAACAGAUUUAAAAUUUAAUAAAUGAUAUUCUUUUUAUUUCAACCCAUCAUCAUACACUAUCCAGUACUUACUAUUUAUAAAUACAGUCAACAUUGACGUGAAUAGUGCGUGCGUGAACAAUGAUUGUCAACCGUAUACAUGAAUAAUUAAUUAACAAUGAUUUUUAAUAAUAAAAUAAAAUUGAUCAAUAAAAUAUAAAAAAUUGAUUAAUGAAGAGAUAAAGUUAGUUAAUAAACAUUCAAAUAUUAAAAAUAAUUUUUAAAAUUAAAUAUAUUUUUCGUCCCUAUAAAUAAUCUAACAUUCAAUUUUAGUCAUUAUAAAAAUUUUCUUCAAAAAAUAAUCCUCUUAAAGUUUUAUAUCCACAAUUUUAAUGUCUCUCGCUUAUUUACUUUAAAGAAAGCAGACUUAACAUGCCACGUGUCACCCCACAUAACUUAAAAUCAACUUUAAAAAAACUAAUUAGGUUGUCUGGGUUACAAACCUUCUCUAAAUACCUAAAUUUUAUCUGACAUUUCAUCACACUGCAUUUUUCUAUUUAUUUUUCUAUUCAUGCAAAUUGAGUUAUUAAAAUUGUGUGUGUGUGCGCGUGCGUGUGCAUGGAUGUGCGUGUGUGUGUGUGUGUGCGUGUGUGUGUGUAUGUGUGUGUGUGUGUGCGCGCGAGCGUGCGUGCGUGUGUGUGUAUGUCUGUGUGUCGGUUAGACAAUGUUUGAUGAAUGUUGUAGCUCGACAUUGUUGUCACCAACUCACAGAUUAAGGAGUGAAACAUCAUCAACACAGUUUCAAGCUUGUCCUUUAUAGAUGUUGGUGCACAAGAUGAUAAAGAUGAACGAUGAACAAGAGAGAGAGAGAGAGAGAGAGAGAGAGAGAGAGAGAGAGAGAGAGAGAAUAAUAACAAACUUCUACUACUCUUUGAAUGAUUACAAAAUGGUUGCACAGAAAAAAGCACACACACAAUGCAAAAGGAAUAAAAGGUAUAAUUUGUUCGCACCACUCACUUGUUUAAAUACAAAUGGGACUUUAGGAAAUACUAAAAUACCAUUUAACAAACUUUAUCAACAAGUUUCUACAAAAUAUGAAUUAAUUAUAACAUCAUCCCUUAAUUCAUAUUGAGCUUAACCAAAACUAACAACACCACUUCCAUCCCUCAAGCGGAGAAACUAAUCAAUCUUGGCCGCCUUCGUCAGAAUAUCUUCCAAUUGCUUCUAGGUGAUACAGUGCACAACUUCUAGCACUCCAUUCUGAACCUGGUUUCUUAGAAAGUGAUACUUAGUCUCAAUAUGCUUGCUUCUUCCAUGCAACACUGGGUUCUUGGCGAGAUUGAUUGCAGAUUUGUUAUCAAUCUUCAGCUUCAGAGGCCUGUUUACCUUGAUCUUCAGAUCCUUUAGUAAAUUCAGAAGCCACCUGCAAUAUAUUCUGCUUCACAGGUUGACAAAACAACAACUGGUUUCUUCUUGGAACACCAAGAAAUAGGACUUCCUAGAAAUUUAAACAAGUAUCCAAAAGUACUUCUUCUGUCAACUAUGUUUCCACACCAAUCAGAAUCCGAGUAACUCAGAAGUUCUGAGCCAGUUUUAGCACCAGAAGGGAACACAACUCCAUACUUCAGAGUUCCCUUUAUAUACCUCAGAAUUCUGACAGCAACUUGGUAAUGAGACCACUUCGAUUUACUGAUAAACCUACUCAUCAUUCCAACUGCAUAUCAAAUAUCAGGUCUGGUAUUGCACAAAUACCUCAGAGACCCUACCAACUGCUUGAACGUUGUCGCAUCUACAUCAUAACCAUCCGAAUCAGAAUCCAAUUUCUGACUUGUAUCAGCAGGUGUUGAAGGUAUAGAAAAACAAGAAAGGGGGUUUUGAAUUGUUUUGGAAAAUAAAACUUUUUUAAGAACUUAGACACACGCAGAAUAAAAAGUUUGACACAAAAUUUUAUACUGGUUUGCUUGAAAUUCAAAGCUACCCCAGUCCACCCGGCCAAGGUGAUUUCGCCUUCAAAAAGGUCUUAAUCCACUAAUCUUGAAAGAUUACACAAACAACCGUCUAAGAGAAUUAAUCCCUUAGCCCUCUCAAGUAUUCAGACUUCACAGAGUCACUUGAGGAAAUAUCUCAGUAGUAAAAUGAUUGGUAAUGCACAGUGCUUCUAACAAUAAGCAAAUAUUACAAAAAUUAAUAACCAGAGUUUUUCACAUAUGAGCAGCAGCUCGUGAGAGAGUGAAAGAAGAUGAUUGAGAAAUUUGUAUUCUUGUGCGUCUCAGGUGUGUUUCUUGUGAUCCGUUUUAUCUCUUUUUGUAUGAGUUUGAGAGGACCGUUGGGUGAUGACAGAAUCUUGGUCAUUGAAGAAUGAUUAAUGUCAUUACUCCCCUUGUUUCUUUCCAAAACAGUUUUGGGUGGGUCAUAACUUCCUUCUAGAAAUAGUUUCUUUCUAAAUGCAGAUUUCUUCACGGUUACGCUUUCUGAGUCAGCGAAUCCUGUAUUCAGAGUCUUGUUUAGCAAUGUUCGUCUUCAGAGGGUACUUCUAUCUGAUUGAAUCAGAGUUUCUCUUUAAUCUUGACUUCUUCAGAUCGUGCGUCUUCAGAGUCUGGAUUCAUUCUUCUUUAUCAGAGUUUCUAACUUCUUUUGUUUUGCUAGUGCCUGUGUUUGAUCAGAGUCAGAACCUUCUGGUCACAUAUCCUCUGAGUAGCGUCUAAUGUUGGAUUCUAUAUCUGAUGAUUUAUCUAUUUGAUUGUUUGAUCAGAGUCCUUCACACUUAGGAAAAAUUUCGUUAGGGUACCAUUUUUGUUUCAUCCUUUGUUAUCAUCAAAAUCUUAGAGAUACAUUGUUGAACCAACUUUGUUCUUACAAGUGUGACAACAACUUUACAAUUCAGUAGCUCAAACCUCUUUAGAAGCUCAAGUUCAUAUUUUAGCUGAUGUAAGAUUAUACCUUUCUCAGAGUACAUAAUCUUCAUCCCUAUAAAAUAGACCAUAUUUCCUAGAUCAGUUAUCUCAAACUCAUUCAUCAGCUCCUUCUUGAACUUAGCUAUCUCAUGUUCACAACUUCCUGUUAGCAAUAUGUCAUCAACAUACAGAUACAUCCUAAUCAUAUUGCCUUUAGAAGUAUGUUGAACAUAGACACCAUACUUCAUCUCACGUUUCUGAAAUCCUUGCUUCUUGAAAAAUGAAUCAAUUUUCAGAUUCCAAGCUCUAGGGGCUUGCUUCAGUCCAUAAAACGCUUUGUGUAAUAUGUACAUCAUCCCUUCCUGAUUCUUUUUCUCAAAUCUAGGAGGUUAUGACACAUAAACCUCUUCAUCUAAUGGACCGUUAAUAAAUGCAUAUUUCACGUCUACAUCGAUCAGAGGCCAAUUCCUGUUAGCAGUUAUCGUAAUCAUCAACCUGGUUGUUUCAUAUCUUGCUACAAUUGCGCAAACACUUCAAAGUAAUCUAACCCAUGUUUCUCUAGAAAACCUCUUACAACUAACCUUGCUUUGUGUUUUCCAAUUGAUCCAUCUGGCUUUAGCAUCACCUUAUAAACACAUCUCAUGUUGAUGGCUUUCUUGUUCUUUAGAAGUUUUGUCAGCUUCCAAGUUUUGUUUCUCGCUAUGGCAUCAAGUUUUUAUUUCAUGGCCUUCAGCCAAACUUUCUGCUUGAGAGCUUCUUCCGUACUCACAGGUUUAGAAUCUACUAACAUGGCACACUGGAUAAUUUCCCCUUCAGAAUCUACUUCAAUAUCUUGAAGCAUGUCAAACUCUGUAAACCUUCUCGGAAUGUUUCUGAUUCUUUGUGUCCUUUGAAAUUGUUCAGAACCUUCUAAUUCUAAAACAAUAUUAGAUGCUGGAACUCUAGAAGUACCGACUUCAGAAGCAUGACCACCUUCUGAAUCUGGACUACCACCAGAAUCAGAAUCACCAUCAGAAUCUGGAUUAGAAUCAGAUUCUUCCUCAAAAUCAAUCUCACCUUCUGAUUCUGACUCACUCUCAGAAUCAUUUUCAGACUCUGACUCAUCUUCAUAAUCAUAAUCGAUCUGUUUAGAAGUUAACUCUACAUCGAAGUUGGAUUAACACUUGCUCCAAUCCCAUACUUCUGACUCUUUCACAAUAACAUCUCUGGUGACUUCAACUUUAUUAGUGAAUGAACAAUAAAGCUUAUAAGCACAUGUACUGUGAUACCCCACCAGUAACAUCACCUUGCUUAUAUCAUCCAACUUCUUUCUAGUAGCAUCUGGAACAUGUUUAUAACAAACAGAACUAAAUACUCUAAAAUGACUCACACUUUGCUUAUCUCUAGUCCAUCUCUCAAAAGGAACAAUUUCCUUUAGCUUCUUGGUUGGACACCUAUUGAGAACAUAUGCUGCAGUCGCAACAACUUCUCCCCACAAAGUGUUAGGAAGCUUCUUCUCCUUCAGCAUGCUCCAUGUUAUAUCAAGCAAAGUUCGGUUUCUCCUUUCAGUAAGACCAUUGUGUUGAGGAGUAUAUGGAGAAUUCACUUCAUGCUCAAUUCCAUUCUCCUCAUAGAACUUCUUGAACUCUAUAGAGUUAUACUCAUCUCCACUAUCAGUUCUGAGAAUCUUUAGAGUAUGACCACUCUGUUUCUCAACCUUGAUUCUAAAUUUCUUAAAUUCAGCAAAUACCUCGUGUUUGAACUUUAUAAGGGAUACCCAUGUCAUCCUUGUGAACUCAUCCAAAAAUGAAACAAAGUAUUUAUUCCCUCAUAGUGAAAUUUUUGGAAAUGGUCAACACACAUCAGAAUGCACUACUCCCAAAGCAUGCUUUGCUCUUUGAGCCACUACUGAUGCAAAUGGCAGUCUUGGUUGCUUCCCUUUCAUUCACACAUUGGAUGAUUUUUCUAGUUUCUUAAUUGAAGGAAUUCCACGUACCAAUUUCUUUGAAUUCAGAUGCCUUAAGCUUCUGAAGUUCAAAUGACCAAAUCUUUUAUGCCACAACUCACUUUCCUUCACAACACUUGUUGCACUAAGACAUUCAAAGUCUGCAGUUUUAACAUUCACCUUGAAUGUUCUAUUCCUUCCCUGUUCUGACUCCAUAACCAACUUCUGAUUACAGCCAUACAACUUCAAAAGAUUGUCCUUCAUGGUAACUAAGAAUCCUUUUUCAAUUAAUUGACCUACACUCAUCAUAUUUCUCUUCAUGCCAGGAACAUACCAUAUGUUCUGAAUUAACGCGGAUUUGCCAUUAUUCAGAAUCACUCUAACAUUCGCCAUUCCUUCAGCAUUCAGAUACUUAUCAUCAGCACAUAUGAUCUUGAUUCUUUUCCUAUAGUCAAAAUCAACCAACCAUUUCUUAUUUCCAAUAAGAUGGUUUGAACAACCAGUGUCCAUAUACCACCAGUCUUCUAGAGACACACUAUCAGAAUCAAAAGUUAUUAAUAGCACAUGUUCAUCAUCAGAACUUCUGGCUAUAUUUGCUUCUCCUGAUUUCCUCUCCUAGUUUGACCAACAAUCUGCAACGAAGUGGCCAAACUUCUUACAACUGUAACAUUGAACUUUUCUCUUGUCAUACUUCUCCUUUCCCUUCUAACUUCCAAAAGUUGAAGUUUCUGACUUCUGAGACCUACCAUGUCUUUUCUUGGCUUCUGACCAAGACUUCUUCUGGUCUUUUUUGACAAAAGAAGCUUUUGGAGCCUGCUCUACAUCUCUCUCAGAGGAUCUUUUAGUCAGACGCAACUCUUGUGCCUCUAGACUGCUUUGCAGCUUUUUUAUUCUCAUGGUGCUCAUAUCCUUAGAAUGUUCAAUUGCUACAACGAUGUAAUCAAAUUGAGGAGUAAGAGAUCUAAGUACCUUCUCAAUGAUACUUUCUUCAGAGAGAGUUUCUCCACACGACUCUGUCUCAUUUAUGAUUAAAUUCAUUCUGGAGAUGUAGUCAGGUACCUUCUCAUUGUUCUUCAUGCUGAGAUUCUCAUACUGCUUACAUAGAGGCUAAAACUUCACCUUCUUCACUGAUGCAUCACUGUCGUAGCACCGCACCAUUGUGUCCCACACAACUUUCACCGUUGUCGAAUCAACGAUUUUCUCAAAUAAGUUCACAUCCACACACUGAUGGAUGUAGAACAGAUCCUUAUGAUCCUUCUUCCUCAUAUCACGCCAAGCAUUUAUCUGUGUAUCUAUUGUAUUUUAUGGAAGUACAACCUAAACGUAAUCGUCGUUGAUACGAUCAAAAACAUCUUGAGCUCCAAACAACACACGCAUCUGAAUCAUCCAACGAUUCCAGUUCUUACCAUCGAACACUGGAAGCUUGGUACUCAGAUUAUCAUUUCCGUUCAUUUUCAACCUUGUGCAAUACACUCAGAUUUCACCUAAACACAGUGUUUCCUAAUCCCCCAUAAUUAAGAUAUGUGAUUCUAUUACGAUCUGAACAGAAAUUCAACACGGAUUCUCCGAACAGAAAUCAAUCACACAGCGCCUCACUAUUUCACUUGGUGUUUCCCGUGGUAUUUUCCUGUGAGUCUGAACCGAAGCUCUAGAUACCAAUUGUUGGUGUACAAGGUGAUAAAUAUGAACGAUGAACAAGAGAAAGAAGAGAGAAUAAUAAUAAAUUUCCAUUACUCUUGAAAUGGUUACAAAAUGGUUGCACAUGAAAAUGCACAUACACACACACACACGCACACACACAUUGCAAAAGAAAUAAAAGGUACAAUUUGUUCACACCACUCACUUGCUUAAAUACAAGUGGGACUUUAGGAAAUACUAAAAUAUCCUCUAACAAACUUUGUCAACAAGUUUCUAGAAAAUAUUAGCAAUAGAUACCAAGGAAAGAUAGUUCUUCGCAUUCGCAGCAACAAUUAAGGCCUAUGAGGAUUUCAAUGGAGAAUCCUGAAGUCAAUAACAACAACAACAACGGUAGUAACACUUGUUCUCUGCAGUAGAAUAUUCAGUUUGAAGAGAUCAUGGACGGUGAGUUUUGGGAGAAGGGUGGGAGGAGUUUGAGGAGGCUUGUUGAACAUGGAUCUUUGGAUGAGUAUUUUGCAAAUAGAGUUAAGAGGAAAAAGGAUAGCGACGGUGAAGAGAAUUUUGAGGAAUUUGAAAGGGAGAAUUUCAGGUUGACACAAUUUGAUGCUAGAAACUUUUAGUUUGUUCAUAUUUUUGGAGUUUUAAAGAUGGUUGGUGUUAAUAAAAGACGAGAACGAAAACAUGUCCAGCCACAUGAUUUUCUACAAAUAAAGUAAUGUUACCAUAACAUAUCCUCUACAUGAUUUUCCGCUUUCUUGAUCACACCCUGGUUACAUUCAUUUCAAUAGGAACUUUGAUAUGGUAAAGUGAUUUACCAAGAGCAAGUGUAACAAAAUCAAUGGAAGAAGAAAGUGUAUUCCCAAUGCCAAGCUUUUUUUGUGCUAACCCAAACAACACUAGUAACCCCACAUGCUUCUUGGUACAAAUUUUUCUAUGCAACUUGAAUUGUUAUCAUUAUUAAACCUGCACAACUCAAAUUUUGGAAAUCACAACAUGCACACUGCAUGUUCAACGAAAUAAUUGACCUCAUUGAUUUUUGUUUUUCUAUAUAACUUUGAGUGACCCAAUUGGACAUUUAGGAAAGGUUAAUAACCCCACAAUUUAACUAAUAUAAAAUAAAAAUAAUUAAUUUAAUAAAAAUCAUACGUAUCAAAAAAAUACAUAUUUGGUAUGCCAUGUAAGUCUCCGUUAGUGACAACUAACGGGAGAGACUAAUUUUAAGGACGAAAAAAAUUUGUGAGGACCAUUAUUUGAAAAAAAAAUUAAAGGGAAUAAAAUUGAAUGUUGACAUAUUUAUGAGGACCUCUAACAUAUUUAUCCUAAUUUUUAUUAGGAAAAAGAAAUUGAUUAUUUAAAUAUAAAAAUUUGGUUAAUAAAUUAUGAAGUUGAUAAAUGCUCAAAUAUAAAAAAUAAUUUUUAAUAAAUAAAAUAUAAAAUGUUGAUUAAGGAGAUUAUGAAGUUGGUUACUUACACAAUUUUCUAUUUGUAUCUCUUAAAAAAAUUUAAAAAAGAUUUAUUAAUAGAAUAUUUUAUUGUUCACCAUAUUAAUAAACAAUGAAAUACGAUAUAUUGUAAAAUUUUAUUAUAAAAAUAUUAUUUUUCUUAAAAAAUAUAGGAAGAAAAAUUGAACUCCAAGCUCUUUUCUACAAUCGAUUUUUUAAUUAAAAAAUUUAAACUAUUGAUUAAAGAAUAUAUAAGAUUACAUUGUGUUGAUAGAAUUAUAUAUCUAUCAAAUCAGAACCGUCUUUAAAAAUAUGCAAGAUAGAUUAUUAUAUAUGAAUUAAAAUUUAUUAUAAUUAAAUCAUAAUUAAAUCGUUGAAUAAAACUUUUAGCUAUUUUUCCAUGGUUAAUACUAACAUAUGCUAAAUCUUCAAAAAUUUAAAAUCAUUGUAAAUAAACAUUAUAUAUGUACCAAAUUAAAGAUAUGAGUUAGACAUCCAUCUCCAAAUUGCUACUUGAAUAGCAUCUCUUACAAUGUACUUUUGAGAUUUUAUUAUACUAUGGAUCCACAGUCGUAAGUAAUGUCUAAGAUAAUUCUUUUUCUCACCCAUUUUGAUGCAAAUCAGGUAAUUUAUAUUUCUACAAUUAAACUAUUAAUAUAGUUUAAUUAAUGAAUGCAAUUUUAAAUAUAUAAUUUACUACCAUGUUAUAAUUGAGUCAAAUAGAUGCAAACAGCUAAUUCAUAAUUUAAUUUUUGAUGAUAAUUUUUUAUUUAUUUAUGUACUAAUAUAAAUAUUUUUUUAUGAUUAUGUAAACACAUUUUCUUAUGAGUAUGAAAAUAAGUCCUUGAUAUUUAUAAUUAAUAAUUAUUUUUAAAAAAAUAAUAAAAUGCAAAAAAAAAUCUUUUUAAAAAUACAUAAAUGUCUUUGGAAAAUGGAAUUACACCACGUAUAUUUGAAUACAUCUAAUUACCUAACAAUAUUUCCUUAAGUAAGUAUACGGAGUUUUAGUUUUUUACACUAUAGUUAAUUCUUAGAAAAAAAUUAUGUAUAACUUUAUUAAUUGGUCUUUCAUUAAUGAUAUUGUUCCAUCUUAGAAUUAGAGUUGGUGUUGAUCGAUGACGUAGAACUUUUGAAUUAGUGAUGUUGAUCUUAGGUAUGGUGGUGUAGAGGAGAUAAGUAAGGUUAACACUCCAAUGUCAAGUCAGUUUUAGAGUCCAAGAUAAAUAUAGUAAAAAGUGAAAAUUAAAAAAAUAUAUUUUAAAUCUUACGUGUGCUGACUAUGUGCGUUGGAUAAUCAUGAUUGGACUUGUGCAUCAUUGGUUGUAUUGGACCUUUGAUCGGUUCAGAACAGUUGCUCCAAGACUUGUCGGGUGUACAUUAGCACGACCUUACAAAAAUGUCUGACCAUGGCGUGGAGUAGGAAUGUCAUUGUUACAAAAGUAACGGUGGAACAAUCGCCUUAAAUAUUUUUCCAUUAUUGAACUAUUUCGCUGAUUUCUUCAAACGUAUGACUUUAGGUUAGCAGGUUAAGGCAUGACACUUUCUCUUUCAGAAAUAGGCAACAUUUGUGAAGUGUUGCAGUAUGCAAUUUGUAUUUUGAAUUUAGAAAUAGACAGCACUUCGUGAAGUGUUUCGGGAUGUGAAACAAUACAACAUUUGAAAACUGUUGUUGUAGACGAAAUAAUGCAACGUUUGAAAAUGCUGUUGUAGACAAAACAAUGCAACAUUUAGUAAAACUGGUUGCUGAAAGUGUGUGUUUGAUAAAGAAUCACAAUCUUAGGAAACAACAUCAGUUUGACUUAUAACUUGAGUAUUCCGGAUUCAGGAAAACAUAUCCUCUUCACAAAAUUUAUGGAUUUCAUCUUCCCUAUAUUUGAAUUUGCUCAGUCUUGUGCAAACUCGAGUAUAGGCUGAAUUAUUCUGGGUAUUCAUGCAUACAAAUUCUAAGAUAAUUUGACAGUGCGCGAAAUGUUAUAAAAAAGUGAUUUGUUCACGAUUCUAACGUCAAUCAAUUUGAUUUCAAUUAAUUUUUCUAACAAUCAUAUAAUAUUUGAAUUAUGGCAACCAAAAUUUAUAUUUCAAGUAUCAAAUAAUAAACAACUAUGUUGUAAGGACAUUUUAAACAUAAGAAAAAUCUACAUCAUGAAUCACGAUGAUCCUUGAAAGGAUGGUAAGAGGUGAGAGAGUUUCAUUGGUUGGAAUUGAUAUGGUGGUUUGUAAUUUGAUUGAUAUUUAAUAUUUGAAGUUUUUUAAUCCUUUGUUGGAAAUGUAAGAGCAAAAUUGCUCUAGAUUGCUUUGGAUUUGACACAUAUUAUUUAUUAUGGUGAUUAAUAUCCACUUUCCAAUUGGUGAGUUCCUCUUAUUGUUUAACUAUUUGAUAGUAUUCACUAUGCAUCAUGCAUAAACCAUAGUUUAAAUAUAAAAAUGCUAUAGUUUAACAUUGUGUCAUGUGUUGUUGUGUUUGGAAGAAGAGUGGAAUAUAUGUAUGUUGAUAAGUUAUAAUGAAUGUUCAAUCAUACAUCGAGAUUCAAAAUAUGAAUUGAAAGUGAUGUUUUUAAAAUUGUGAGUAAAUCUGAUUAUAUGAAUCAUUCUAUGCAUCGUCAACAAAAACAUGAUAAUUUUAAGUAAAAGUAACUGACAUAUGCAAAAUUAUAUGCUAUUCAUGAUAUAUAAGAAAAAUUGAUAUAUUUUAAAUUAUAAAAAGAAAAUAAAAGGAUGGCAACACACAUUUGUUAAAAAAUAAGUGAUUGACGAUACAAAGUUUACCAGGGUGAAAGUUGCAAAUUUGCAAAUUAGCCAUAAUGAAUUGAGAUUCAUGGUUCGAAAAUAGAUACACAUAGUGACUUGUAUAGAAAUGUGCAUAAAUGGAGAUCUUAAUGAAUAAAAGACGUGAAAGUUGUUAAAUCUUUAUAUGGAUUAAAACAAACGUCAAAACAAUGAUAUCAAAAAUUCGUCUUUGUCAUUGGAGAGAUACAUAAUUUAACUGGAGACUUUUGAAUCUUAUCAAAAUAAAAAUUCUAAGAGUUCGUCAUCAUCAAAAGGGGAAGAUUGUGAAGUAUAUAUAUCUAGUUUAGUUUUGAUGAAGACAAAAGUUAUCAAAAAAGAAAAGAAUCAAAUGUGUCAUGCACAUCAAUGAUGAAGUUGAACAAGAAGGUUAAACAUGUAAGUUCAAGUGAAUAUUUGAAACAAGUGAACAUAACUAAGGUGCUCAUUGAAAUUUAUACUAUACUAUUUUAAAUUGCUCAUAAUUUUAUCUUUCACUUCAUCUUAAAACCUUCUUGCAUCAUCAUGCAUUAUUAUCUAAAAAUCUUCUUCCUCUAAUUCUUUUUACAAGUGUUUGUACACAAAGUUGUGCGGAAAUAUUGUGAUAUUCAUCGGUCUCUAUAUUGAUUAUAUGAUUGAUCAUUAGCAACGAGAUGAAUGGAAUUUUAGAAACAAUGAGGUUUCUAGCUUCCACAUUCAAGAUGAAUGAUCUUGGACUAGUUGACACGCUUUUGAAGAUCAAAGUAAAACGAAAUAGUGAAAUUUAUGAACUUAGUCAAACACAUUAUGUUGAGAAAGUACUUGAUAAAUUCAAAAACUUACAUUUCAAGAAAGUGAAUACUCCAUUUGAUCCUAGUGUCCUUAAAAUAAUGAUGGAAGAAUUGUGGCUCAAUUGGAAUAUGCAAGUUUAAUUGAUUGUCUAAUGUAUUUGAUGCAAUGUAUCUGACAUAUCAUUUGCAAUUAGUAAAAUAAAUAGAUUUACUAGCAAUCUAAAUGGUGAACAUUGGAAGGAAAUCACAAAGAAUUUUGGUUAUCUUUUAAAAUAGAAAAUUUUGGCCUUCAUUACGGUAGAUUUCCUGCCAUACAAGAAGGAUAUACUGAUGCGAUUUGGAUAUCGAGAGUUGGAGAUUAUAAAUCUACAACUGGAUGAAUAUUUACAUUAGAUGGAAGUGCAAUUUCUUGGAAGAGCAAGAAACAAACAUGCUUUACUCUUUUGACCAUGAAAUCAGAGUUUGUGACUCUUAUGUCCGCUGGACAAGAAGCAGAAUGGUUGAUGGACCUUCUGUUGGAGACUCCAUUGUCUAAGGACAAUGUCUCGAAAGUGUUGAUACAUUGUGAUAACCAAGCCAAACUAGCUAGAGAAUUCAGUGACAUAUACAACGAAAAGUCUAGGCACAUAAGUCUUAUACAUUCUUUCGUGAGAAAAUUGAUUAAGGAAUGGAUCAUUUCACUAACAUAUAUACAAAUAAGCUAUAAUUUAGUUGAUAUGUUUACUAAGUCACUGGCCAAAGACUUAGUAAAGACUACCUCAAGAGGUAUGAGAUUGAAACUCCUUAAAUAUGGGUUCCGACAACAGUAGCAACCCAAUAUGAAGUUAACAAAUCUUAACCUAAAAUUCAAUGGGUAACAGCAAGUCAUUAAUUUGGAUGUUUGUGCAACAUUAUAUGACAAUGUCGAGUAUUACAUAUUGAGGGUUGAGCUUUUUCAAACUCUUAAUGAAAUUUUAUAUCGAGGAUAUGCAUCUCAAGAAAUAGAUACAAAAUGAACUUCACCUAUAUGAAUUUCGAGAUGGCGUCGUCUCAAAGUGAGAGUAGGAGCUCCUCUCAUAAAAAAAUCACGAAAACAGGAAAAGCACAUGACCAUAAAUAAUGAUAGACGAGAGAUGUAGGCGAAGAACCAUUAAAGAAUGUGCGUAAGGUAGCACCAGUAUAAUCACAAAGGAUAACAAUUUAAAGCAUAGGUACCUAACGUUCCGAUUAAACUUUGUGUUAUCCUUGCCAAUGUUAAGUUCAAAUUGAAAAAUACUUAACUGUAUUAACAUUUUUGUUUUCCUUUUUCUGGAAUGAAUCUUGUCAUUAUUAGAACAAGUGGAAGAUUGUUGUAAAUUAUUAAAAAUUAAUAAUCUUGAUUGUGUUCUAAAAUCAUAAGAAAAUAUGCAAUUGAAGGUUAAUUUUGAAUUCAGAAAUAGGCAACACUUGUGAAGUAUUGCAGAAGGCAGUUUUUAUUUUGAAUUCAGAAACAAAAAAUACUUCGUAAAGUGUUUUAAAAUGCGAAACAGUACAAACCUUUGAAAGCUGUUGUUGUAGGUGAAACAAUGCAACGUUUGAAAAGUGUUAUUGUAGGCGAAACAAUGCAACAUUUAGCAAAAGUGAUUGCUGAAAGUGUGUGUUUCUUCAUAGGUCACAACCUUAUGAAAUAACAUCAGUUUUGCCUAUAAAUUGAGCAUUUUAGAUUCAAAAAAACACAUUAGAAAAGUCUAUUAUCUUCGCACAAAAUUCCAGAUUUCAUCUUCCUUAUAUUCAAAUUUUUAUUGAUCUUAUGCAAACUCGAGUAUAGACUAAAUUAUUCUGGAUAAUCUUACAUACAAAUUCUAAGAUAAUUUGAGAUUGUUUGAAAUAUUAUAAGAAAAGUGAUUCGUUCAACGAUUCUAAAAAGAUUUUUUUAAUAGGAACUGCGUAUGUAUGUGACUUAGUAUACUAUUUCAUCCAGAUUAAAAUAAAUGAAUAAAUAAAAAAAAGAAUGAUAUUUUUAUUAAAAUAUCUUUUAUUAAGUAUUACAAAUUAUAAAAAUAAUAUUGAUUAAAAAUAAAAUUGAAAAAUAUGGAUUGAAAAUUAAAUUGAGUUAUUUAUUUAAAAAAAAAACUAUUCUAAAUAGAUAGGCGGAAUGAGUAGUGUAGAAUGUUGCUUACACAAUGCGGUGAUCGACAUAAUUCUAUCACAAUUAUUGAUUAACUUAUUUAUAUAUAAUUUCCUUCCUUUCCAACAAAAUAUGUGUGUUUUGACUUGACUCACAGCCACAUCCCUUUGUCAUCAAUAUUUAGAAUCACGACAAAACACUACUAGAAUUUUGUUGUGAUUAUAUUUAUCAAGACAAAAUUAAAAUAAUUGGUAAAAUAGAUAAAAUGCAUAUUUGCAUAAAUAUUAUUUCAUCCGAAUAUAUAUAUUUUGUUCAUACGGUUAUUAAGAAUAGUAUUGAAUUAAGAAUGAUCAUUAUUAAGUUUAGUGAAAGAAAAUUGUUGAUUCAUUAUUUAAUAUCAGAUGACAAUAUUUAUUUAUAUUUAAAUAUUAAUAUAAUAUGUUAUUUAUAUUUUAAAAUUAAUAAUUAGAAAACAAUGAAUUAUAUAUUUUUAAUAUUAGAAUAAGUUUUAAUUAUCAAAAUAUUUUUAUUAAUAGUAAAUUUUAUAAAAUUUAAUAUUUAUAAAAUAUAAAAGACUUAUUUAAAAUAUUAAAUUAUAAAAUUACAAAUAAAUAUUAGACAUUUUACUCCUCACACCUACAAAUAUAGGUAGGUAGAAAUAAAAACAGCACAAAUUAAAAUAGCUAAUCUUCACUCCUCACACCUACCCAAACUCUACCUACUAAUUUAAAAGAUUGCCGCCUCAAUAAUUUCUAAUAAGAUUCUCAGCAAAAAAAGACACAAGAUAAUGUGUUAUUUUUCCGCCUUCUUCCGCAUAAAUUAUUAUAUCCUCUUUCAACAUAUGAAUCAUAUAAAAAGGUCCAUACUAGUUUAUAAUUUCUUCAUACCCAUUUCAACCAAAACACCAAAGUUAACAAACAAUAGAAAUGGAUUUCAGUACAAACGGUUCUGAAGAAAGUGAACUCUAUCAUGCUCAAAUCCAUUUAUACAAACAUGUAUACAACUUUGUAAGUUCCAUGGCACUCAAAUCCGCCAUGGAACUAGGCAUAGCUGAUGCAAUUCAUAACCAUGGAAAACCAAUGACUCUCCCUGAAUUAUCUUCAUCUUUGAAACUUCACCCCUCUAAAGUUAACAUCCUUUAUCGAUUCUUACGUCUGUUAACACACAAUGGUUUCUUUGCUAAAACAACAGUGAA